CUGUGACACGAGGUUGGUGUAGUAGGCGUUGUCGAACGUGUUGGCCGUCGUCGUGUCGAGGUUCGCCAGGCUGCCGUCGCCGCCGGACCGGGGGCAGUUGGCCCGGAGAGAUGUGGCGAAGGUCGUGUCGAUGUUAGUCUCGUUGUAGAUCCUGUCCUUGAAGGUCCCGCACUGCGCCUGGCCGAUGGUGUGCGCGCCGGAGAGGGCCACCAUGUCGACCGUAAGGAGGCCCUUGUUGCUGAAUGCCAGCUCAAGAUCUGACCGGCUAGACGUAGGGCCUGGGAGGUCGCUGUUUGCCGCCGCCUCGUUUGCAUCUAUGGAAUCCCUUCUUCCCAGAGGGACUGUCCAUGAUGGCCCUCCGAGCUGCACGCGAAGGAUACGAAGAAAACGGUUAACGAUGGCAUCCAAUCGAUGAUGUACACGAUCGUAAGAUGAUAUUCUUACGGCGACAACGGAGUCACGGGCAGCGACGGUGAGGAUGUCGGCGCAGGAGACGGUCUGGGCGCAGAUGGCCUCGAUCUGUGUCUUGAUGCUGUCGAUGACGCCGAAGCCCCGCAGUGACCCGUUGUUCGGGAGAGCGUUUUGUUCCAUGCCAGAAAGCAGAACAGACGCGUCACAGCCCUGCACAUCACAUGCUUAUAGUGUUUAGCAAGCAAAACCUAUACAAAACAGGGUACGUGACGGCUAUCGGGAUAUGCAUGCAUGCAUGUGGCCAACUUACUUGGACGAAGCAGUCGUGGAAGUGCAGCCGGAGCAGCGACGCGCCCAUCCGAGGAUCGCUGCUCACGGCGGCCAUGACGCCGCUCUUGAUGGUGGCCAGGGCCCUUGUGCAGGAUGUGUCGUAGAACGUCGGCGACAGCUGCCCCGACACCACGGCGGCCAGAGCCACGAGCACCACCAGAGAAAGGUAAGAGGCAGAGGCGGCCAUGGUUAGCUAGCUAGCUACAAGAGCAAAGCUACGCCGGCUUACUAGCUACCUGGUGGUGGUGGAGUGGUGGUGCUUAGUGGAUUGUGCAAGAGAGUGGUGCAUCGCAUGCAUAUUUAUAGACAAAGAUUUAGCUCACGUGCACCUGCAGAUCGAUCCCGGUCAGCUCAUCCAAAAUUUAGGUCCCAUUAGUCCAACGUUAGUCUCCGACACCUGUUCGAUCGGGUAUACCGCGAGCUUCCUGCUUGAGCGAUCUCUCUUGGCGUAUUCAAGGCAGCUUCCAGCUUGAGCCGCUACCGCCAACACCAACACCUGAAUUUUCCUUGCAACAGGGCCAACUUGAGCGAUCUCUCUUGGCGUUUAUCACGCAAAAAUCGGCAAAACAUGGAACGAUCUCUCUUUUUUCAUCAUUUCCAUGCUAGCGGGCGCCUGGAGCCAUGUGUGCGUGGACACCAACCAUUUGACCUUACGUACGAAUAGUGGUGGGGAGUCGGCGUUGUUCCAAGGCGAUUCACGCUCGUUUUGACCGGUGCGCAGUCAUCUUGCGCUCCCGUCGCCUUCGGCCAACACGAGAUAAUUCGGCAGCUGAGACAGUACUGAGAGGAAAGAUCUAAAAAAACAAUCAUUUCAUAGCCUUUUCCGAGCUUCUGAGAGGAAAGUGAGGCCAAGCCCGGUUCGACUGCCGGGUUGCCCACGCCCAGGGGCGGAGCCAGGAUUUAGGCAUAAGGGGGGCGAGAACGAUAAUAAUCGUUUCUGAUACACACAACACACACAAAAAAAAUAGUCUCAAAAGUAGAAUUGAUAUGAAUGAAAAUAUAUGUUUGAUAAUAACAUGGGUUCAAAUUAUCGUGCAGAAUAGCUUGCUCCUCAAGUGGAUUUGUGUUCUAAGUAAUAUUUCGAAACAAUGAGCUUUUACAAUGAAUCUAUAUUUGUAAACAAGAAGUGAAACUAUAUUUGUAAAUUACAAUCUUACCUAAUUAGUAAAUAAAAUCAUUGAUUUGAAACAAAUUGUAAUGACUCAGGAUUACUCCCUCCGUUCUUAGAUAAAAGUCUUUAUAGAGAUUCCAUUAUAGACCACAUACGGAAUAAAAUGAGUGAAUCUAUCCUUCAAAUGCAUCUAUAUACAUCCGUACGUGGUUUAUAUUGGAAUCUUUACAAAGACUUAUAUUUAGGAACGGAAGGAAUACUAUAUACCAGAAUUCUUUCGAAGUCAAUCUGUUGAUGUGUGACGCGCUGUAGCAGACGAGUAGUUGUGAUCUCCCUCAAUUGCCCGGGAGAAUGUAGUGCCCUCUGCCAUGUGCGGCUGUGCAACAACCAGAACGGCGGAAGCAGCGGCAGGCUAUGCCGCGACUGGUGACGGCGACGGCGACGGCGGCGCAAAGACGUACGUAUGGAGGGAGAGCACAGACCUAGAAGGCAGGAACGUAAUUACGGGAAGGAUUAGGGAAUUAACUACACGAUCUCACGGCUGGAUCUGGAUGUAAUCUUUUUUUCUCACGCGUAUGUACACCUAGGGAUGCUUUGGGCCUUUGGGUUGAGAAGUUGCCAUGCUAGGCCAUUAGCGCCGCUACACACACGUAUAACUAAAACAACAGGUCAGCCAUAAUAUACGUAUAAACUACAACUACUAANNNNNNNNNNNNNNNNNNNNNNNNNNNNNNNNNNNNNNNNNNNNNNNNNNNNNNNNNNNNNNNNNNNNNNNNNNNNNNNNNNNNNNNNNNNNNNNNNNNNNNNNNNNNNNNNNNNNNNNNNNNNNNNNNNNNNNNNNNNNNNNNNNNNNNNNNNNNNNNNNNNNNNNNNNNNNNNNNNNNNNNNNNNNNNNNNNNNNNNNNNNNNNNNNNNNNNNNNNNNNNNNNNNNNNNNNNNNCCCCUGUUCGCACCCCCCUGUCUCCGCCCCUGGUCAACCCAGAACCAUGUCGCCAGACGAUCGGUCAACUUGAUACGAAUUCCAUGGUGGUCCUUGUCUGAAUCAACCGAUGGAAGAAAAUUAACUGAACCCUACUCUCCGAAUGGAAGCCCGAAGCUCAGCCUUCACCGAGUAUGUUUUUAAUUGGAAGCCUUAAUCUUGAAGAGAUCCUUUGUUUUCCUAGUACAAAUCUCUUCAUGAGUUUUUGUAUUCGCGUCCUAAAGAGGGAGAACCUCCCACUGCAAAAAUAACCAAUUCUUCAUGAUUCCUUUACGGGUGGAAGAAACCCAAACAGAUUUGAUGAAAUAAUAAUUAUUUUUAAAUCUGGGUAGCAAUCGCCAUAAACAAUUUUUUAGCUCGUGUACUGUUCCUCAAUCUACAAUGUUUCUUCAAAUCUUUACGGCCACAACAAAAUCAUCAUCCCAUCUAGUUAAGAUAUAUAAUGAUGAUGCAUUAACCCAUUUUUUGCAAAAAAUGAUGCAUUAACCUUGACCCAUAUGAAAAAAUAUUUCAACAUCGAAUAAACUCAGUUCUUAUGUAGGUGCGUUAUGACGUACACAUUUUGUCACAUGUCACUGACGGAGAAACUAGAUUUUGUCACUGAAAUUUUUUCAUUUCAUGUAUACUAAAUAAAUGUCCAUGCUACUAGUAAGUUUUUUUUGGGGUAGAAUUGGACAAUUUCAUUUGUAAAUUUUCAUAUGCAAAACUAUCUUUUAACUAAUUUUGAAAUGUUCAUGUACUUCAAAACAACGUUCAGGACUAUAAAAAAGUCCACCUCUCUCAAGAAACUGAUUAUGUAUUUUAUAAUAAAAUAUUCAUGUGUUUGAAAACAAAUAUUUACAACUUCUAAGAUAUGUUUUCACAUUCGCAUGAAUAUUUUUAUAAAACUAUCUGAAUUGUAAAUGGAAUUAGUUAAAUAACAAUGUUAAAUAUAAUACAAUUAAAAUAAAAAUGAAAUAGAAAGCAAUAUGUAAUAUUUUUAUGAAGAACCAAAUAAUAAGUGAAGUUAUAGUGAAAAAACAAAUAAUGAUGUAUAAUGUUAGUUAAAUAAUUUAUUUGCUUAGUCAAUUUUUAGAAAGUUUGAAUAAUGAAAAAACUUACAUACACUAUAAUUUGGAUAGGUGGAAGUAUGUCAAAAAAAAGUUGACGAGAUUGUUUAAAAAAACUUACAAAUAUACACUAGAAUUUAUUUUUCUAAAUAAUUUACUAAGCUUCUUUUCGAAGAGGUCUUCGAUAUUUUUUGUAUUCCUUGUUGGUGAGCUUGCGAUGAUGAAUUGGAAUCCUGAGGUACUUGAACGGUAGGAAUCUCACUUCACAACCAAAGGGUUGCUUGCAUUGACUCACCUCCUCUUUUGCCAAAUGAUCAUUUGUUUCAUAUUAUCAUUGUUUUCAUGAAGUUGUAUGAUCAAACAUGUGUUUACAAAAACAUGGUUAUGUAUUUUAGAAUAAAAAUAUAUUCACGUAAUCCCUCCAUGCUAAAUUCAGUGCAUAAUUUGUUUUCAAAAGUCAACCUUUGGAAACUUUGACAUAGUUUAUAGAAAACAUAUGAAUAUUUACAAUGCUGAAUGUCUAUCAUAUUAAGAAUUAUUUCAUGACAAAUCUCGGGUAAUGUUAUCCAGCGAACGUUCGCUGGGAUUGUACGGCAAAACCAAACGGCAAUUUAUGUGUUGGGAGCAUGGCAAUCCAUUCAAACAAACACGGCAAUUUCGCAGCAAAAUCCUCUAUUUGCCACAAGUUGCCAUGUGUUUGUGAAGAAAUUGUCAUUUUCUUCCGAAUAAUUUCCUAAAUCCUCGGGGUGGUGCCCGGUCAGGUGGCUCCCUUGAACCUCGGCCCCGUAGGCGACGGCCUCGGAAGGGUUGAUCCCGUCGAUGUUGACGGGCUCCUUACCGUCCAAGUAGUUCUUGACAAGUUGUUGCACCAUGGGGAUCCUGCUGCCACCGCCCACAAGGAUGACAUCGUGGAUGUCUCCCUUCUCCAGCUCGGCGUCCACCAGGGCCUUCUUGAACGGAGCCAUCGUCUUCUAGAAGCGGUUUUGUUGAGCUCCUCAAAUAGGUUGACACUGUCCAACAGGGCCUUGACCUCCACGCCCACCUGGUGCUGGUCGUGGUCGCUCAGCGCCCUUUUGGCACGCUCACAUUCCCGUAGCAGCCUCUGCAUCGCAUGGCCAUCGCCGGUGACAUCCCGACUGUGCUUCCGCUAGGUCAGCUCGGCAAAGUAACCCACGAGUCGCCGGUCGAAGUCGUCACCAUCGAGGUGCACAUCGCUGCGGGUCAUUAGGACAUCCAACACGCCCUCCUCGAGAGUGCUGACAUUAUCAUUUGUUUCAUGUUAUCUUUGUUUUCAUGAAGUUGUAUGAUCAAAUAUGUGUUUACAAAAAAAUGAUUAUGUAUUUUAGAAUAAAAAUAUAAUCACAUAGUCCCUUCAUGCUAAAUUCAAUGCAUAUAAUUCGUUUAUGAAAGUCAAUCUUUGGAAACUUUGACAUAGUUUAUAGAAAACGUAUGAAUAUUUACAAUACUGAAUGUAUACCAUAUUAAGAAUAUAUUUCAUGAUAAAUCUCGGGUAAUGUUAUGCAGCGAAUGUUCACUGGAAAUGUAUGGCAAAACCAAGUGUCAAUUUAUGUGUUGGGAGCAUGGCAAUCCAUUCAAACAAACACGACAAUUUCGCAGCAAAAUCCUCUAUUUGCCACAAUUUGCCAUGUGUUUCUGAAGAAAUUGACAUUUUCUUACGAAUAAUUUCCUAUGGAAAACAUUCACAAUUGCCAUGCCCCACAGCAAAACGUUCACUGGCUAUUGGGGUCCUAAAUCUAAUGGUCUUGAUCUGGUAUUAUUGUUGUCGCUAAAAUAAUUUAUGUGCUUAGUAAUUUUUAGAAAGUUUGACUACUAAAAAAAUUAUAUACAAUAUAAUUUGGAUAAGUGGAAGUAUGUCAAAAUAAAUAAAUUCAUGCAUGCAUUUGAGGAAAUUUGUCAUGUGUGCUAUAUUAUAUGAUCUUGUUAUCUCUUAGAGAAUUCAUACAUAUUUCCUCCUAAAAAGGUGAAAAAUGGGAAAAGUGAUUUCUUUUAUGAGAAUUAAGAGAAACAAAAGAUGGGAAAGAGUAGAAACGAAACAAUGAGAAAAAACAGGGGAAAAUAAUAANNNNNNNNNNNNNNNNNNNNNNNNNNNNNNNNNNNNNNNNNNNNNNNNNNNNNNNNNNNNNNNNNNNNNNNNNNNNNNNNNNNNNNNNNNNNNNNNNNNNNNNNNNNNNNNNNNNNNNNNNNNNNNNNNNNNNNNNNNNNNNNNNNNNNNNNNNNNNNNNNNNNNNNNNNNNNNNNNNNNNNNNNNNNNNNNNNNNNNNNNNNNNNNNNNNNNNNNNNNNNNNNNNNNNNNNNNNNNNNNNNNNNNNNNNNNNNNNNNNNNNNNNNNNNNNNNNNNNNNNNNNNNNNNGCUAUGUUAUACGCAGUGGGUGGUAUAUAGGAUUCGGGGAGCGCAGCACAUACGCGCCAUUUCGUGUAAUUUUCUCCUAACGUGGAAAAAAAGUGUUCUCGUACAAUAAUCGAGCACGGCCACUUCACGCCCAAUUUCACAAGAGGAGUUUACAUCUUCAUUCUGUGUACGAGUGUAAUAAGGUAGGAUUGAUAGUAAUUCUCCUUGCCUUUUGCAUGAGAAAUUGAGGAUUCAACCGUCGUUACAUACGUUGAUGCAUGCAUGAUUUGCUGCUGCACAUGCUUUGAAAAUACACGAUUCAAGUGCUGGUAUGAUAAGUGGUACUGGCCACUGUUUUGGGGGCCUUAUUCAUUCACGUGUCGUGCUGCCGACGCAUACGUCCAUCACGAGUUCACCUUGGAGCAGCUGAGCCUGAUCUGGCCCUGCGUCCCGGUGAGCGGCGCGAUGUUUCCCAUCUUGAUCAUGGCCGUCGUGAAGGCGCUGCUGAAGGCCGCCGCGUUGGACGCAAAGUUGCGGACAGUGUUGUCGGUGGUGUCGUUGUUGAAGAGCACCUGGUCCGAGUGCAGGAGCCCUUUCUGUGACAGGAGGUUGGUGUAGUAGGCGUUGUCGAACGCGUUGGGCGUCGUCGUGUCCAGGUUCGCCAGGUUGGUGUUGCCGCCGGACUGGGGGCAGUUGGCCUUGAGAGACGUCGCGAAGGCAGUGUUGAUGUUGGUGUCACCGCCGUAGAUCCGAGUCCGGAAGUUGGAGCACUGGGCCUUCCCGAUGGUGUGCGCGCCUGAGAGCGCGACCAUGUCGACCGUGUUAAGGUUCUUCUUGAGGAACGCGGCCUCGAGCUGUGACCGGCUAGAGCUCGGGCCAGGGAGGUCACUGUUCGCCAGCGAGGCACUUGCGGUGGUGGAGUCCCGUCUCCCCAGCGGGACAGUCCACGAUGGCCCUCCAAGCUGUAUGUGAAAGAUAGCAGACCAAGUAGGAAAUUAAGUAUGUACUAAAUCAGCGACAAUUUAUAUGAAUCGGAGGGGAUAUAUGUUCUAUCCUUCAGGUAGCAUCGAUCAUGUAAAUGAGUGUAGUACUAAGAUGUUCUUACAGCGACAACGGAGUCGCGGGCGGCGACGGUGAGGAUGUCGGCGCAGGAGACGGUCUGCUUGCAUAUACUCUCCAGCUGGGUCUUGAUGUUGUCGAUGACGCCGAAGCCCCUCAGCGACCCCACGUUCGGACCCGCGUUUUGUUCCAUGCCAGACAGAAGAACAGAUGCGUCACAGCCCUGUAGCCAACAUAAACGUAUUAGGUCGGAAUAUAAAUUUUGUUAAAUCCGGGAGUUCAAGAAAGUUGGUUAAGGGAAAAAGAGCUGAUAUAUUAUGUGAAACUUGCUUGGACAAAGCAGUCGUGGAAGUGCAGCCUGAGCAGGGAGGCGCCCAUGCGGGGGUCGCUGCUCACGGCGGCCGCCACGCCGCUCUUGAUGGUGGCCAGAGCCCUGGGGCACGACGUGUCGUAGAACGUCGACGACAGCUGCCCGGACGCCGCCGUGGCCAGAGCCACGAGCACCACCAGAGAAAUGCGAGAGGCAGAACCCAUGGCCAUGGUUAGCUACCUAGCUACAAGCCCAGAGCUAUGCGUGCUACCUGCACUUGUUAUCUGGUUGUGGCUGUGGCUGUGGCUGUGGCUUGCAAGAUAACGCAGUAUUUCAUGCAUAUUUAUAGGGAAAAUUUGAGCUCACGUGCAGCUGCACAUCAGUCCCCGUCUCCCAGUUGGGAGAAAGCAUCCAAAUUUUAUGUCUGAUUAGUCUAGCAAGCAUCCAAAACAGAUGGUCGAUUGGUCUAUGAUGGCUGACGAUCGACGUCGACCCGGCAUCCACGAUCUGCCCAGCGCCGUCGUCUGGCCAGCUAGAUGUUGGAUAGGGAAUACGGGUACUGACAAACCCGCCGAUUUUUUAGAAGGGUCAGACGCUUGCAUCCAAGUGUGGCAACCUCCAGCUUAAGCGCUUAAAUCGCUACGGCCAACACCGGCCCUACAUAUUUUCCCCCGGCAAUAGGGCAUAUCAUGUACUCGAAUAAUUUCCCGUGAUCUGCCUUGGCCUUAUCAUGUAUCCGUUAGGUGCCCGUGGGGGAGAGAAACGUAUAUCUGUGAAUCAAUAAUGGCAUACAGCAUCUCAUAAUAAUGUUCAUUGUUUUUGAUAUAGCUUACCACUGUUGCCAAAUGGUUCAUCUCAUAAUAAUGGAGUAAUAUAUUCUUCAUCAUUUUUUUAGGUAUAGCUAUGGUCGUGAACCUGCUUUGAGGGAAUAUAAGAUUGUUAGGCUUUUCAAUUGUAAAUAAACUUAACAUGCUUUUUUUGUCAAGUGACUCCGGGCCGGCAAAACAAGUGUUAUUGCGUCAUAGGCUCAUAGCCCCGCUACAUGAGCAUUUCGUCCUACGAUCAGGCCCAGCUGAAGAGCAACAGAUGUUUUAUAAGAGGUUUUGAAUCAUCGAUCACGUCAAAAGAAUAACCUUACACGAUACCAUCGCCUUUAAAUUCAUGAUGUGUCUCCACUCCCGCAACUAACCUGCGGGUAAUUAAACCCCAACACAAAUUUCACUUUGCACGGUAAAAGAGCUAACAUGCACUCUACUAUCGGAGUAAACAGGAGCAUACGUCCACAUGCACCAUACAUAGGUUCAUCUCCAACUACAUGGAACGAGCUCCAUGGAUGCUAUUGCAGAUGGUGAUACAGCCCGAGCCUGAAGCUACGCAUGGACGCACCAUUUGACCUAGCUAAUACUCAUUUCGUUCCAAAAUGAGUGUCUCAACUUUAUAUUAUUAUAGUAUAAAGUUAUAUUAAGUUUGAGGCACUUAUUUUGAGACGGAGUGAGUAGUAAGGAGUCCGCUUCUGUCCAAGUUAAUUCAGCCUCGCUUUGACCGCAGCGCAUCAUCUUGCGCACAGGUUGUGUUCGAUGAAAGUGACACGAUGCGAUUCAGCAGUGGCAGUUUCUUUCAUGCUCUGUACUACAGUUGAGAGGGACUUGGCUCAUACGCAGGCCUGCGAGGAAACAGUUUGGGUCAAAUCAUCCUCUAGCCGCACGCCAUUUGGGCUUCUUCUGUUCCCUUGGUGUUGUUGUUGGGUGCGUCUAAAUGUCGCCUACUACAUGCGACUCACCUCCAGCAUUCUAUAUGGGCCCGCCCAGCAGCAUGAGGCCUUGAGGCGUGCCUAGUUCGAGCGCACAAGUCUCACAAUCACUUUCGCUCAAAAACAAACGAGCAGCACGUUAAGUCACAAUAAAAAAUGUUACAAUUUUUAUCUAAAAUAACUUAAGGCACAAUUUUAUUUCUAUUUUUCUGUCUUUUUUUCAAACACAAUACAACACAGAUGUUCCGGUAAGUGUGUCUGAGUAAAUGAAAAACUGACCAAAAGUGGUUGGCGGGUCCCAGCCACUUUCCUCACAUAUUACAAAUACGGGCAGUUUUGCAGGCACAAUACAUCUGAUAUACAAGGACGUGGGCCAGCACUAACACGAAUCGCGGAGUAAACGGCCGGUCUAGGAUCUACCAGUACAUGACGGAACCGCGCAAUAUGACUUUGCAGGCAUAUCAUGUACUCGAAUAAUUUUCCAUGGUCUGCCUUGGCCUUAUCAUGUAUCCGUUAAGUGCCUCAGGGAGAGAGAAACAUAUAUCUGCGAAUCAAUAAUGGCAUACAACAUCUCAUAAUAAUGUUCAUUGUUUUAUUUUGAUAUAGCUUACCACUCUUGCCAAGUGGUUCACCACGUAAUAAUGGAGUAAUAUAUUCUUCAUAAUUGUUUUUUAGGUACAGGUGUGGUGGUAAACCUGCUGUGAGGGAAUAUAAGAUUGUCAGGCUUUUCAAUUGUAAACAAACUUAACAUGCUUUUUUGUCAAGCGACUCCGGACCGGCAAACCUGUGUUAUGCGUCGUAGCUAGGCUCAUAGCCCCGCUACACCAGCAUUUCGUCCUCCUAUCAUGCCUAACUAAAGAGCAACAGAUGUUUUAUAAGAGGUUUUGAAUCAUCACGUCAAAAGAAUACCCUUACGGGAGAGGAUACCUUCGCCUUUAAAUUCAUGAUGUGUCUCCUCUCCCGCAACUACCAUGGGUAAUUAAACCCAACACAAAUUUUCACUUUGCACCAUAAAAGAGCUAACGUGUACUCUACUACGGGAGUACACAGGAACAUACGUCCACACGCACGAUCCAUACAUUGGUUCAUCUCCAAUUGGAUGGAACGAGCUCCAUGCAUGCUAUUGCAGAUGGGGAUACAGCCCGGAGCUAUGCAUGGAUGCACCGUUUCGCCUAACUAACGUAGGGAGUCCGCUUCUGUUCAAGGCAAUUCAGCAUCAAUUUGACCACAGCGCCGUCAUCUUGCGCACAGUCGUGUUUCAAUGAAAGUGACACGAUUCCAUUCAGCAGUGUGACAGUUUCUUUCAUGCUCUGUAUUGCAGUAGAGGGGGUUGACCUUCUUUUCGAAAAAAAGAAAAGUAGAAGGGCACUCGGUUCGACGCAUGCCUGCGACGAAACAGUUUGGGCCAAAUCAUUCUCUAGCUGCACUUGGGCUUCUUCCGUCUGCUGGGUGUUGUUGUUGGGUGCGUCCAAAUGUCGCCUAACAUGCGACUCGCCUCCAGCGUUCUACACGGGGCGGCCCCAGCAUGAGGCCUUGAGGCGUGUGUAGUUCCAGCGCACAAGCCUCACGUUCGCUUUCGCUAAAAAACAAACGAACAGCACAUUAAGUCACAAUAAAAAAAGUCCCAUCAAAACAAAAAAAGUCACAAUAAAAAAGUUACAAUUUUUAUCUAAAAGAACUUAAGGCACAAUGUUAUUUCUAUUUUUCUGUCUUUUCUCAAACAAAAUGCAACAGAUGCUCACAUGUUAUUUCUGUACUUUCAGAAAUGCCAUUCUGACCAGCCGCUAAUGGAGUGUAGUGCCAAGUGCGAGAGCAUAAUGUUUUUAUUGCAUAGUAAUUUUAAUCUCCUAGGCCUACUAGUCCAUUCUGACGAACGAACAAGUGAUUACAAAUUGACUUUUGAUCAAUGAAAUGCAUGCAUGUCUGCCCUUUUAUCGCAUUGACCCUUUUAUCUGGAGGUUGGGUAUAACAUUUUCCAGUUGUAUCGCGUUGACCCUUUUAUUGAAAAAAGAGAGUAUGAGACAUGGCAAUCAAUUGCAAUCACGAUUAAACUGUAAUAAAAUAAAGACAAUAACUUUAGAAGCACCACGUUUAAUGCCUCUAUCAUGUAAAACUGACAUUGUGAUUGUUAUGUGGCUAUGUGUGGCUAUUUAGCUAGUACUACCUCUAAGCGAUGAAUUGAUUAAUUAAUAAUCACUAGCAAAAGAGCCUGUACGUUGCAAUUGGAGAAAAAUUGCACACGCUCUUAACCCCGUAACCAUCAUUCAAGACCACAAUAGGUCCACGUCGUUUUUUUAGGGGGGGGGGGGGCAUCACAUUUGUUCUGCCGCUUAUCCUCCUUCUCAACCUCGCUGGCGGUGCGCUCAAGGUUCACACAAACCAAAAUGUGUUUGAAUGUGGUUUAGUCCUAAGAUCUCUCGUGCACGCGCGGUGAGAAAUCUUUUGUUUUUUUCCUCUACAUCAACACCAUAGCCUCUCCGAUGAAGUGUGAGUACCUCAGACCUUCGGGUCCAUAGUUAUUAGCUAGAUGGCUUCUUCUCUCUUUUUGGAUCUCAAUACAAUGUUCUCCCCCUCUCUUAUGGAGAUCUAUUCGAUGUAAUCUUCUCUUUGCGGCGUGUUUGUUGAGACCGAUGAAUUGUGGGUUUAUGAUCAAGAUUACCUAUGACCAAUAUUUGAAUCUUCUCUGAAUUCUUUUAUGUAUGAUUGGUUAUCUUUGCAAGUCUCUUCGAAUUAUCAGUUUGGUUUGGCCUACUAGAUUGAUCUUUCUUGCAAUGGGAGAAGUGCUUAGCUUUGGGUUCAAUCUUGCGGUGUACUUUCCCAAUGACAGUAGGGGCAGCAAGGCACGUAUUGUAUUGUUGCCAUCGAGGAUAACAAGAUGGGGUUUUCAUCAUAUUGCAUGAGUUUAUCCCUCUACAUCAUGUCACCUUGCUUAAGGCGUUACUCUGUUUUCAUGAACUUAAUACUCUAGAUGCAUGCUGGAUAGCGGUCGAUGAGUGGAGUAAUAGUAGUAGAUGCAGGCAGGAGUCGGUCUACUUGUCUUGGACGUGAUGCCUAUAUACAUGAUCAUACCUAGUAUUCUCAUAACUAUGCUCAAUUCUGUCAAUUGCUCAAUAGUAAUUCGUUCACCCACCGUAAAAUACUUAUUCUCUUGAGAGAAGCCACUAGUGAAACCUAUGGCCCCCGGGUCUAUCUUCAUCAUAUUAAUCUUCCAAUACUUAGUUAUUUCCUUUGCUUUUUUACUUUGCUUUUAUUUUACUUUGCAUCUUUAUCACAAAAAUACCAAAAAUAGUAUCUUAUCAUAUCUAUCAGAUCUCACUCUCGUAAGUGACCGUGAAGGGACUGACAACCCCUUAUCGCGUUGGUUGCGAGGAGUUAUUUGCUUUGUGCAGGUACGAGGGACUCGCGCGUAGCCUCCUACUGGAUUGAUACCUUGGUUCCCAAAAACUUAGGGAAAUACUUACGCCACUUUGCUGCAUCAUCCUUUCCUCUUCAAGGAAAUCCAACGCAGUGCUCAAGAGGUAGCAAGAAGAAUUUCUGGCGCCGUUGCCGGGGAGUCUACGCAAAAGUCAACAUACCAAGUACCCAUCACAACCCUUAUCUCCCGCAUUACAUUAUUUGUCAUUUGCCUCUCGUUUUCCUCUCCCCCACUUCACCCUUGUCGUUUUAUUCGCCCUCUCUCUCUCUAUCCUCCCUCUCUUUCUCUAUUUACCUCUUUUUGCCCGCUUGCUUUUUGUUUGCUUGUGUGUUGAAUUGCUUGCUUGUCACGAUGGCUCAAGAUAACACUAAAUUGUGUGACUUUACCAAUACCAACAACAAUGAUUUUAUUAGCACUCCGAUUGCUCCUCUUACCGAUGCUGAAUCUUGUGAAAUUAAUGCCGCUUUGCUGAAUCUUGUUAUGAAAGAUCCGUUUUCCGGCCUUCCUAGUGAAGAUGUCGCUAGCCAUCUAAAUAUCUUCGUUGAUUUGUGUGAUAUGCAAAAGAAGAAAGAUGUGGAUAAUGAUAUUGUUAAAUUGAAGCUAUUUCCUUUUUCGCUUAGAGAUCGUGCUAAAGCUUAGUUUUCGUCUUUGCCUAAAAAUAGUAUUGAUUCUUGGAACAAGUGCAAAGAUGCUUUUAUCUCUAAGUAUUUUCCUCCCGCUAAGAUCAUCUCGCUUAGAAACGAUAUUAUGAAUUUUAAGCAACUUGAUCAUGAACAUGUUGCACAAGCUUGGGAGAGGAUGAAAUUAAUGAUACGUAAUUGCCCUACUCAUGGUUUGAAUUUGUGGAUGAUUAUACAAUUUUUUUAUGCCAGAUUGAAUUUUGCUUCUAGAAAUCUUUUAGAUUCGGCCGCGGGAGGCACUUUUAUGGAAAUCAAUUUAGGAUAAGCUACUAAACUCCUAGAUAAUAUUAUGGUUAAUUAUUCCCAAUGGCAUACUGAAAGAUCUACUAAUAAAAAGGUGCAUGCGAUAGAAGAAAUUAAUGUUUUGAGUGGAAAGAUGGAUGAACUUAUGAAAUUAUUUGCUAGUAAAAGUGUUUCUUCUGAUCCUAAUGAUAUGCCCUUGUCUACUUUGAUUGAGAAUAAUAAUGAAUCUAUGGAUGUGAAUUUUGUUGGUAGGAACAAUUUUGGUAACAACGCGUAUAGAGGAAAUUUUAAUCCCAGGCCUUAUCCUAGUAAUUCCUAUAGCAAUUCUUAUAUAAAUUAUAAUAAGAUGCCCUCUGAUUUUGAAUCUAAUAUUAAAGAAAUUAUUACUUUGCAAAAGAAUUUCAAUGCUUUGAUUGAAGAAAAAUUGCUUAAGAUUGAUGAGUUGGCUAGGAACGUUGAUAGAAUUUCUCUUGAUGUUGAUUCUUUGAAACUUAGAUCUAUUCCUCCUAAGCAUCAUAUCAAUGAGUCUCUCAAAGCUAUGAGAAUUUCCAUUGAUGAGUGCAAAGAAAGAACCGCUAGGAUGCGUGCUAAGAAAGAUGCCUUUAUAAGAGCGUGUUCUUCUAGUUCCUAUGAAAAUAAAGAUGAAGAUCUAAAAGUUAUUGAUGUGUCCCCUAUUAAAUCUUUGUUUUGCAAUAUGAAUCUUGAUAAUGAUGGGACUGAAUAUGAUCCACCUUUACCUAGAAGGCAUUCCAAAAAUUCGGAGUUUUUAGAUCUUAAUGCUAAAUUUGAUAAAAGUGGGAUUGAAGAAAUUAAAACCCUAGAUGUUGCUAAACCCAUUAUUUUGGAUUUAAAGGAAUUUAAUUAUGAAAAUUGCUCUUUGAUUGAUUGUAUUUCCUUGUUGCAAUCUGUGCUAAAUUCUCCUCAUGCUUAUAGUCAAAACAAAGCGUUUACUAAACAUAUUGUUGAUGCCUUGAUGCAAUCUUAUGAAGAAAAACUUGAGUUGAAAGUUUCUAUCCCUAGAAAACUUUAUGAUGAGUGGGAACAAACUAUUAAAAUUAAGAUUAAAGAUCAUGAGUUCUAUGCUUUAUGUGAUUUGGGUGCUAGUGUUUGCACGAUUCCAAAGACUUUGUGUGAUUUGUUAGAUUUCCGUGAUUUUGAUGAUUGCUCUUUAAACUUGCACCUUGCGGAUUCCACUAUUAAGAAACCUAUGGGAAGAAUUGAUGAUGUUCUAAUUGUCGCAAAUAGGAAUUAUGUGCCCGUAGAUUUUAUUGUUCUUGUCAUAGAUUGCAAUCCUUCAUGUCCUAUUAUUCCGUGUAGACCUUUCCUUAGAACGAUUGGUGCGAUUAUUGAUAUGAAGGAAGGAAAUAUUAGAUUCCAAUUUCCGUUAAAGAAAGGCAUGGAACACUUUCCUAGAAAGAAAAUUAAAUUACCUUAUGAAUCUAUUAUGAGAGCCACUUAUGGAUUGCCUACCAAAGAUGGCAAUACCUAGAUCUAUUCUUGCUUUUUAUGCUUAGCUAGGGGCGUUAAACGAUAGCGCUUGUUGGGAGGCAACCCAAUUUUAUUUUUAUUCCUUGCCUUUUGCUCCUGUUUAGUAAUAAAUAAUUUAACUAGCCUCUAUUUUGGUUGUGUUUUUUGUGUUUAAUUAGUGUUUGUGCCAAGUAGAACCGUUGGGAAGACUUGGGGAAAGUCUUGCUAAUCUUGCUGUAAAAAGCAGAAACUUUAGCGCUCACGAGAACUGAUGCCAUUUUUAUUUGGAAAGUUAUAUUUAGUUAAUUAUUUUUUAAUAUGAUUAAUAGAUAAAUUCCUCACGUCCAGCAAUUUAUUUUAAAAUUUUUGGGGUUACAGAUCUUGCACUAGCUACAGAUUACUACAGACUGUUCUGUUUUUGACAGAUUCUGUUUUUCGUGUGUUGUUUGCUUAUUUUGAUGAAUCUAUGGCUAGUAAAAUAGUUUAUAAACCAUAGAGAAGUUGGAAUACAGUAGGUCUAACACCAAUAUAAAUAAAGAAUGAGUUCAUUAUAGUACCUUGAAGUGGUCUUUUGUUUUCUUUCGCUAAUGGAGCUCACAAGAUUUUCUACCUUAAGUUUUGUGUUGUGAAGUUUUCAAGUUUUGGGUAAAGAUUUGAUGGACUAUGGAACAAGGAGUGGAAAGAGCCUAAGAUUGGGGAUGACCAUGGGACCCCCAAGAUAAUCUAAGGACACCUAAAAUCCAAAGCUUGGGGAUGCCCCGGAAGGCAUCCCCUCUUUCGUCUACUUCUAUAGAUAACUUUACUUGGAGCUAUAUUUUUAUUCACCACAUGAUAUGUGUUUUAACAGGAGCGUCUUGUAUUAUUUGAGUCUUUAUUUGUUAGUUUACCACAAUCAUCCUUGAUGUACACGCCUUUAGAGAGAGCCAUACAUGAUUUAGAAUUUGUUAGAAUACUCUAUGUGUUUCGCUUAUAUCUUUUGAGUUAUAUAGUUUUGCUCUAGUACUUCACUUAUAUCUUUUAGAGCACGGUGAUGGAUUUUUUUAUAGAAACUAUUGAUCUCUCACGCUUCACUUAGAUUAUUUUGAGAGUCUUAAUUAGCAUGGCAAUUUUCUUAAAUAAUCCAAUAUGCUUGGUAUUCAAGAAUAGUAAAAACUUUCUUAUGAGGGUGUUGAAAGCUAUGAGAAGUUUGAUGCUUGAUAAUUGUUUUGAGAUAUGAAGAUGGUGAUAUUAAAGUUGUGCUAGUUGAGUAGUUGUGAAUUUGAGAAAUACAUGUGUUAAAGCUUGUGAUUCCCGUAGCAUGCACGUAUGAUGAACUGUUAUGUGAUGAAGUCGGAGCAUGAUUUAUUUUUUGAUUGUCUUCCUUAUGAGUGGUGGUCGGGGACGAGCGAUGGUCUUUUCCUACCAAUAUAUCCCCCUAGGAGCAUGCGCGUAAUAUUUUGCUUUGAUAACUUGUAGAUUUUUGCAAUAAGUAUAUGAGUUCUUUAUGACUAAUGUUGAGUCCAUGGAUUAUACGCACUCUUUGUCCCUCCACCAUUGCUAGCCUCUCUAAUACCGCGCAUCUUUCGCCGGUAUCAUACACCCACCAUAUACCUUCCUCAAAACAGCCACCAUAUCUACCUAUUAUGGCAUUUCCAUAGCCAUUCCGAGAUAUAUUGACAUGCAACUUUCCACCGUUCCGUUCAUCAUGACACACUCCAUCAUUGUCAUAUUGCUUAGCAUGAUCAUGUAGUUGACAUCAUAUUUGUGGCAAAGCCAAUUCUUUCAUACAUGUCACUCUUGAUUCAUUGCAUAUACCGGUACACCGCCGGAGGCAUUCAUAUAGAGUCAUAUUUUGUUCUAAGUAUCGAGGUGUAAUUGUUGAGUUGUAAGAAAAUAAAAGUGUGAUGAUCAUCAUUAUUAGAGCAUUGUCCCAGUGAGGAAAGGAUGAUGGAGACUAUGAUUCCCCCACGGGUCGGGAUGAGACUCCGGACGAAAAAAAAGAAAAGAGGCCAUAAAAAAAGAGAAAAGGCCCAAAUCAAAAAAUGAGAGAAAAAGAGAGAAGGGACAAUGUUACUAUCCUUUUACCACACUUGUGCUUCAAAGUAGCACCAUGAUAUUCAUAUUAGAGAGUCUCUCAUUUCGUCACUUUCAUAUACUAGUGGGAAUUUUUCAUUAUAGAACUUGGCUUGAAUAUUCUAAUGAUGGGCUUCCUCAAAAUGCCCUAGGUCUUCAUGAGCAAGCAAGUUGGAUGCACACCCCCUUAGUUUCUUUUGUUGUGCUUUCAUAUACUUAUAGCUCUAGUGCAUCCAUUGCAUGGCAAUCCCUACUCACUCACAUUGAUAUCUAUUGAUGGGCAUCUCCAUAGCCCAUUGAUACGCCUAGUUGAUGUGAGACUAUCUUCUCCCUUUUUGUCUUCUCCACAACCACCAUUCUAUUCCACUUAUAGCGCUAUAUCCAUGGCUCACGCUCAUGUAUUGCGUGAAGAUUGAAAAAGUUUGAGAAUGUCAAAAGUAUGAAACAAUUUAUUGGCUUGUCGUCGGGGUUGUGCAUGAUUUAAAUACUUUGUGUGAUGAAGAUAGAACAUAGCCAGACUAUAUGAUUUUGUAGGGAUAGCUUUCUUUGGCCAUGUUAUUUUGAGAAGACAUGAUUGCUUUGUUACUAUGCUUGAAGUAUUAUUAUUUUUAUGUAAAUAUUAAACUUUUAUCUUGAAUCUUUCGAAUCUGAAUAUUCAUACCACAAUUAAGAAGAAUUACAUUAAAAUUAUGCCAAGUAGCACUCCGCAUCAAAAAUUCUGUUUUUAUCAUUUACCUACUCGAGGACGAGCAGGAAUUAAGCUUGGGGAUGCUUGAUACGUCUCCAACGUAUCUAUAAUUUUUUAUUGCUCCAUGCUAUAUUAUCUACUGUUUUGGACAUUAUUGGGCUUUAUUAUCCACUUUUAUAUUAUUCUUGGGACUAACCUAUUAACCAGAGGCCCAGCCCAGAAUUGUUGUUUUUGCCUAUUUUAGGGUUUCGAAGAAAAGGAAUAUCAAACGGAGUCCAAACGGAAUGAAACCUUCAGGAACGUGAUUUUCUCGCCGAACAUGAUCCAGGAGACUUGGACCCUACGUCAAGAAACAAAGGAGGAGGCCACGAGGUAGGGGGCNNNNNNNNNNNNNNNNNNNNNNNNNNNNNNNNNNNNNNNNNNNNNNNNNNNNNNNNNNNNNNNNNNNNNNNNNNNNNNNNNNNNNNNNNNNNNNNNNNNNNNNNNNNNNNNNNNNNNNNNNNNNNNNNNNNNNNNNNNNNNNNNNNNNNNNNNNNNNNNNNNNNNNNNNNNNNNNNNNNNNNNNNNNNNNNNNNNNNNNNNNNNNNNNNNNNCUGUUGCUCCACCGACGUACUCCUUCCUCCUAUAUAUAUCUGCGUACCCCCAAACGAUCAGAGACGGAGCCAAAACCCUAAUUCCACCGCCGUAACUUCCUGUAUCCACGAGAUCCCAUCUUGGGUCCUGUUCCGGAGCUCCGUCGGAGGGGGCAUCUAUCACGGAGGGCUUCUACAUCAACACUAGCCUCUCCGAUGAAGUGUGAGUAGUUUACCUCAGACAUUCGGGUCCAUAGUUAUUAACUAGAUGGCUUCUUCUCUCUUUUUGGAUCUCAAUAUAUACAAUGUUCUCCCCAUCUCUUGUGGAGAUCUAUUCGAUGUAAUCUUCUUUUUGCGGUGUGUUUGUUGAGACCGAUGAAUUGUGGGUUUAUGAUCAAGAUUAUCUAUGAACAAUAUUUGAAUCUUCUCUGAAUUAUUUAAUGUAUGAUUGGUUAUCUUUGAAAGUCUCUUCGAAUUAUCAGUUUGGUUUGGCCUACUAGAUUGAUCUUUCUUGCAAUGGGAGAAGUGCUUAGCUUUGGGUUCAAUCUUGUGGUGUCCUUUGCCAGUUACAGUAGGGGCAGCAAGGGACGUAUUGUAUUGUUUCCAUUGAGGAUAACAAGAUGGGGGUUUCAUCAUAUUGCAUGAGUUUAUCCCUCUACAUCAUGUCAUCUUGCUUAAGGCGUUACUCUGUUUUCAUGAACUUAAUACUCUAGAUGCAUGCUGGAUAGCGGUCGAUGAGCGAAGUAAUAGUAGUAGAUGCAGGCAAGAGUCGGUCUACUUGUCUUGGACGUGAUGCCUAUAUACAUGAUCAUACCUAGAUAUUCUCAUAACUAUGCUCAAUUCUGUCAAUUGCUCAACAGUAAUUCGUUCACCCACCGUAAAAUACUUAUGCUCUUGAGAGAAGCCACUAGUGAAACCUAUGGCCCCCUGGUCUAUCUUCAUCAUAUUAAUCUUCCAAUACUUAGUUAUUUCCUUUGCUUUUACUUUACUUUGCAUCUUUAUCACAAAAAUACCAAAAAUAUUAUCUUAUCAUAUCUAUCAGAUCUCACUCUCGUAAGUUACUGUGAAGGGAUUGACAACCCCUUAUCGCGUUGGUUGCGAGGAGUUAUUUGCUUUGUGCAGGUACGAGGGACUCGCGCGUAGCCUCCUACUGGAUUGAUACCUUGGUUCUCAAAAAUUGAGGGAAAUACUUACGCUACUUUGCUACAUCAUCCUUUCCUCUUCAAGGAAAUCCAACACAGUGCUCAAGAGGUAGCACCCCUCCAUAGUUCAACACCUCAGUCAUAUCGUCGUAGUGCUUAGGUGAAGCCCCACGCCGGUAACUUCAUCAUCACCGUCGCCACACAAUUAUGCUGAAGGAACUGUCUCUCACCCUCAACUGGAUCAAAAGCUCGAGGGACAUCAUCAUGCUGAAUGUGUGCUAAACACGGGGGUGCCAUACGUUCGGUACUUGGAUCGGUUGGAUCGUGAAGACGUUCGACUACAUCAACCGCGUUACUAAACGCUUCCGCUUUCGGUCUACGAGGGUACGUGGACACACUCUCCCCUCUCGUUGCUAUGCAUCUCCUAGAUAGAUCUUGUGUGAUCGUAGGAAUUUUUUGAAAUACUUUGUUCCCUUCAGUUACCAGCGUGCCCAAGCCAUUGCACCUCUCACCUCCAUGAUUGCCUCUUUUCCUCUACCACCAAAUUGAAUUUUCUUCUUAAGAUAUAGUUUUAAAUCUUAAUCAUGCAAUCGGCUCAAAACUACACUAAUUGAUUGGGAAAGGAAAAUAAAAUGUAAAACAUCAACCCUGCAUUAGUGCAUCUUUCCUGACUCAAGAGCAUGACACCAAGUAGACGAACACCUUUCAGGCCAGGGAAGAGCGAGGAUCCUCCCAGGCUCCUUCGAUGAAAGAUGAUUGGAAUACAAAAGAAGUUAAUCAUCAGUAAUGGAGAGGCCAUCUACAUGUGCACUGUCAGUUACAUAUGUUACAACCAAGUGAUAGGGGUUCUUUUUAGAGAGAAAAGAAAAUCGGUGGGGGUGUUCAUUAAUUCGGUGGAGGGCUAAUGAAACGAAACGACCUACAUACUCCCCUUUAAUAGUAGAUAUUUUAUAACGUGCUUAUCUUAGCAACGAUGAUUCAGUAGAUAUUGCAUGUGGAAACCUGUGGGGAAUUGGAUUGAGGUACAUCAACAUUAACACUUUUUGAGGAACACUUAAUUUUAGCUACCAAAUGGUAGUACAUGUCUGUUUGAAUGUUACUGGAAGUCUGCUACAUCAAGAGCGAGACAACAAUAGCCAACUACAACUAAUUGAGACAAUAUAUAUCAACAUCGACGGAUACAUAUAUUGCCAAAUCCCAGCAAAAUGAGAGAGAAAAAAAGGUGGCAUUCAAGAAAAUCUAGUGAACAUCUCUUAAAUGCUUGUAAGAAAUCUGAAUAGACUCUCAAAAAUAUCCUUCUCAAGAUAAAAAACAAACUGGUCAAGAUUACCUUUCAUACACAAAUACAGGAGUAGAAGUAGACCAGAUGUGCUACAACCAAACAACAACCCCGAGAAGCCUAUUUCGAGGGGAAAUGAACCGAAAUGAAAACAGAGAUUCAUGGCAGUUAUAUACCUCUCUUUUGGCGGUCAUGGUGGUGUGCCGCUCCACCUUUGGGCUUCGCAUAGUGGGAAACUUGGUCACCAGCAGAAUCCAGGAUGGCCCCAUCUUGUUUGCUCCGAGGGGAGACCAUUGGGUAAGGUGCUCCACUGAGCCAUUCCUUCAUGGCAAUAACAAGUACAGUGAGUCAGAAACCUCAAAAAAGGAAAAAAAAUCAUAAGGCAGUGGAAGCUCAGGGUGAAGUGAAGUUCCUUGCUUCACGGCUAUACUGCUUGAAUAUAACCUGAGAAAAUGCAUCUUGUUCAAGCAGCAUGGCUAGAGGAGGCAUGAGGUUUUAGUGCCUCCCUUCAUCCCAAAUGCAGGGGGAAACCAAAGAUGAAUCCACUCCGAAGUUAUGAUGAGAAAGCUAUAUUGAUCAUGUUACUACAUUUUUAAACUCUUUAACAAGCUUGAUUUGUCUUCAGUUUUAUCCAGUGUAUGUCUUCUCUUCAUAUUUAUCCAGUUUACAAACUAUGAAAAACUCAGGUAUGUGAAACAGAUAGCACACAUAGAUCAAUGUCAAAAUCCGAAGCAACACACAACUCAAAACAGAUAGCACAUGUGGAUCAAUCUAUCAUCUAUGCCCAAACAAAUAGCACAUGUAUGUGGAUCAAUCUUGUUAGGAAUCAAAUUUAGCAGUGGUCUUUUAUUAAUUAGCACAUACUAAUUAGUGAACCAACAUUAGCAAUUAGCAACCAUCAAUAACACUUGGAUUUUGUCCAACACCUAACCAACAAACCUUGUAAGUGACCUACACCUUAUAUAAAUACUCAGAUUCAUCAUCAAUGAAAAGCUGUUGAUUCAUUCAUUUAUCUAUCUCUCUAUUUUUUUACUUCUAAACACGUUAUCAUGCACUUUGCUCUCCAAUUGAGCAAUUUGACCGGGAAAUAAAAGAGAAGAACAAGGAUGAAUAGGGGACUUCAAUCCACAUUGGUUUAAAGAUCAUCCUCGAAUAGAACGGAUAGAUCAAAACAAAAGAAGAAACCAACUGAUUAUACUCCAUACAGGAACUUGAAAUUGGUCAGAUUUUUCAAUCAAGUAACCACAACGGAUUGAUCCUUGUUUUUCAUCAUUAUCAGUGGCCAGGAAUUAGGCAAUGUUCGCAUCUUUUCAUGGGCGAAGACAUCAUAAAAGAAACGGACGAACGGAAAAGGAGAACAGAGCUUGUCUAUCUGGCUUCAAUCAAGAAAAUACUAAUAACAGAGAUUACCUGUUUAAUCUAGUAUUCUUGUUAUCAACUAAUAAUCUAACAAUGGAUUGCGUUUCCCAUGUAUGUACGUACUCACGCAAAUCACAAGAAGAAACGAUCGAUCAUGUAUUACGAAGAAGAGGCAGUGCUCUCAUGCGCACGUCGCCAUCCGGCCGGCGCAACUUCCCACGAAUCCUUGCUCAACUGGAACAUGGCAUGGCGCGUCUCAGUAGUGGCAGCCGAUGGGUCGCUCCACCCUCCGGCAGAGCACAACCACGAUGUGGGGGCGAAGCCCUCAGGCACGCGGCGACGUCGCCUCGGCUCCGAUCACACAUGCACAAGCACUACUAGGGAAAAGCCUAGUAGUAAUGUGGAUUUAAUUCCUACACACUACUAGUAAGGUGCUACAUCUAUUCCUUAGCAGUAGCGCGUGUAACACACACUAAUGCUAAGACAUAUAGCCGUUUCCAGCGCUACUGCUAAUCUAACUAGUAGUAGCAUGCUUCUUGUCCAGUGCUACUACAUUUUUAGUGUAUUUAUAUGCCGUUAUACAAAUUUUGAUACAGUACCAAUUAAGAGGUUGUUAUAUCAUUAUGUCCAUGAUGAAUUAAUAUAUCAUUGUAAGGAAGAAACAUGGAUUAGAUUCAUUUGGAUGAAUCAAAAGUUGAAAUAGGAUGACGAUCCUACUAAUUCAACUUUUGGUCACUUUUGAUCCAUCCACAUGAAUCUAAUCCGCGUUCCUUCCACCAAUGAUAUAAUAACUAAUCAUGAUCAUAAUAACAAAUAAUCAUGAUCAACAUCAUCAUCAUAUUAAUAUAAAAACUCUUGCAUCAUGUCAUCACCAACAACACUAGCUAAUAAUCAUCAUAGUCAUUACCACCAACACUAUUUAAUCAUCAUAGUCAUAGUGUAGCUAUCUAAUCACCCCCAACACUAGCUAAUAAUAAUAAUAAUCAUAGUCAUUACCACCAACACUAGCUAUUUAAUCAUCAUAGUCAUAGUGGAGCACAUCAUCAUCUUCAAACUCAUUCUAGCUAGCUAAUCACUCCUGCUGCUCUCUCUCAGGUAAAAUAGCAUAAAACAUGUGUAGCACUCCUGCUUCAUCAUAUUGGAGAAUGCAGAUGAACCAGACUCCUAAUUGUGGAUUGCGCUUCUGAUUGCUGCCCCCUAGUACUUCUCUUUUGUGGCCCUUCACAAUUUUGCUCCAGUCUUUCACUAUUAAGACUUACUCGCUUUGAUAAAUCAUGAAUGCACUCAUGUGUAAUGCAGGAUAUUUUGGUCGUAAGCUAACCAUUGUCAUGCGACCUUUAGGCUCGAUCCAACGAGGCACAACAUUCAUCGGGAGUUCCUGUUGAAAAACAUCGUACUAACAUACUUAGCAAUGAAGUUUAGCUUAAAAAUAAUGUAUGCAAAAGUUGCACUAAGGAUAAAUAGUAAAAAUCUUACCAUCUUUCCUAAAUAGAUGUGAUUGUAGUUCAAUAGGCACACUAGUGGUCGCACGUAUUGAGUACUAAUAUUUCGAAGUUUAGGAAAAUAACCUGUCUUGACAGUAUUAAGAUCCUCAAGCCAUGAAACAUAAUGACUUAUCUCCUCACAGUUUAGUUCAUUUCCGGGACAGUAGUAGGUGAUGUCUACCAAGCGUCGGACAUGUUUGCUUGAAUGGAAAUAAGCUGUCAACAGAAAUUAGUUGUCAACUAUUUUUAAAUAAACAAUAUAAAUUACUUAAUAAAUAUGGUUGAGAAACUCACAUAAUGGUAGAACUAGGGGCGUCUGCACAUCGACCCAGAUGUCGAUAUUACCUUCAAUUUAAUCUUCCAGAUGAAUAUCAAAGGUGAUAAGCAUAUUAGGCUCAAAUGCAUAAGCCUUGCACAGUGCUCUCUAAUUUUUGCAUUCAAAAUAGGACUAGGUGUCUGCAUUGUAUAAUUUUUCGGCAAAAGUAUAACCAUACUCGGUCCUCAACUGAACUCUCUUUGCCUCCAUACUGUCCAUAGUAUUGAAACCAAUAUUAUCCAAGACAUAAAUUCUUCCAUGGCAGGGGAUACGCUAGUAGAAUGCUAAAAAAAUUAAAAUUAUAAGUUGAAGCAAAAGAAGCAGAAGUCAUACUUAAUUACGAAAAAAAGACUUGUCAUUGUGACUUACUAUAUCCACUUCGAAGGUCUCAUCCAACAUGAUGUUGAAGCGCCUACCACCAACUAGGUGAGGCCUAUCGCAUAGGCCGCGCUCGCCUUCGCAGUAUUCGCACAUAACGAAUUCCUUUUCGUUGUUAGACAUUUCCUAUGUUCAUAGUUGAAACAUUGAAAAUCGAUCGAAGACAACUACCAGGAAACUCAACACAUAGAUCACUAUUACUCAAUAUGAAACGGGUUAACUUUAGGUCUGUCGAGUCUUCCUUCCUAAACUCUUAUCUCACAUAUUUAGUCGGGAUUCUUUCACUCUCACAUUUUGACCGUCGGUGAUAGUCACUACUCCUCCUUUUCCUAGUGCAUUACAAAUAUCUAGCACAAGGAAAGAAGGAGAAGCGACCCGCACGACAACAGUCGGGAUUCUUCCUCUCUCAAUGGUGGACCCUCUCCCUCAUUGAAAGACACACAAGGAGCCGAAAUAGACAUGAAGUCAACUUGUUCCAUAUAUCGAGCAAUGAUAUUGAAAAAAUGCCCUAUGUUUUGCCGAAAUAUCGUUGAAUUCCUGUUCUAGCAAAUCACAUGCACUCGAUAUGUCCUACAUUGUAGCAUAAGUCAUGCUAAAAUUCAUGAAAAAAUUCGGCAUCGCCUUUGCUAAAGACAUGACAUAUCGAGCACCUGAAAUUGCCAGAAUGGAAACGAAUCAACAUUCUAGCAAAACAUAUAUAGGCCACUCGGAGGUACAUUGCAAACAAGAACACCAAGACAUCCUCUAUAUUCAGAAUGCAUCAUCAUCGACAUCAAUGACAUGGCGACUAGCACUAGCAUUUUCAUCAUCGACAUUUACAACACAUUAUCAUUUGGCUAUUCUCACCUAGAGGUCUUAAGGGGUCGACGAUGGGGACGACUGUGGGGAUGACGCGGGGGCAAAUACUUGAUUUCGGUAUAAACAAAAUAUAUUAACCACUUACUAUAAAUAAACUAGUUCUAUUAAGCACUUACUAUAAAUAAACUAUUUCUAUUGAGAACUUACUAUAAAUAAACUAGUUAUAUUAACCACUUACUAAAUAACUAUUUCUAUUAAACACUUGCUAAAAUUUAAACAUUGUUAACUGAUAAAUCUCCAACGUAUCUAUAAUUUUUGAUUGCUCCAUGCUAUAUUAUCUACUGUUUUGGACAUUAUUGGGCUUUAUUAUCCACUUUUAUAUUCUUUUUGGGACUAACCUAUGAACCGGAGGCCCAGCCCAGAAUUGCUGUUUUUUUGCCUGUUUUAGGGUUUCAAAGAAAAGGAAUAUCAAACGGAGUCCAAAGGGAAUGAAACCUUCGAGAACGUGAUUUUCUCAACGAGCAAGACCCGAGAGACUUGGACCCUACGUCAAGAAAGAAAAGAGGAGGCCACGAGGUAGGGGCGCGCCUACCCCCCCCCCCCCAGGCGCGCCCUCCACCCUCGUGGGCCCCCUGUUGCUCCACUGACGUACUCCUUCCUCCUAUAUAUACCUACGUACCCCCAAACGAUCAGAUACGGAGCCAAAACCCUAAGUCCACCGCCGUAACUUUCUGUAUCCACGAGAUCCCAUCUUGGGUCCUGUUCCGGAGCUCCGCCAGAGGGGGAAUCGAUCACGGAGGGCUUCUACAUCAACACCAUAGCCCCUCCGAUGAAGUGUGAGUAGUUCACCUCAGACCUAUGGGUCCACAGUUAGUAUCUAGAUGGCUUCUUGUCUCUUUUUGGAUCUCAAUACAAUGUUCUCCCCUCUCUUGUGGAGAACUAUUCGAUGUAAUCUUCUUUUUGCGGUGUGUUUGUUGAGACCGAUGAAUUGUGGGUUUAUGACCAAGUCUAUCUAUGAAUAAUAUUUGAAUCUUCUCUGAAUUCUUUCAUGUAUGAUUGGUUAUCUUUGCAAGUCUCUUCGAAUUAUCAGUUUGGUUUGGCCUACUAGAUUGAUCUUUCUUGCAAUGGGAAAAGUGCUUAGCUUUGGGUUCAAUCUUGCGAUGUCCUUUCCCAGUGACAGUAAGGGCAGCAAGGCACGUAUUGUAUUGUUGCCAUCGAGGAUAACAAGAUGGGGUUUUCUUCAUAUUGCAUGAGUCUAUCCCUCUACAUCAUGUCAUCUUGCUUAAGGCGUUACUCUGUUUUUAACUUAAUACUCUAGAUGCAUGCUGGAUAGCGGUCGAUGAGUGGAGUAAUAGUAGUAGAUGCAGGCAGGAGUCGGUCUACUUGUCUCGGACGUGAUGCCUAUAUACAUGAUCAUACCUAGAUAUUCUCAUAACUAUGCUCAGUUCUGUCAAUUGCUCAACAGUAAUUUGUUCACCCACCGUAGAAUACUUAUGCUCUCGAGAGAAGCCACUAGUGAAACCUAUGGCCCCCGGGUCUAUCUUUAUCAUAUUGAUCUCCUACUACUUAGUUAUUUCAUUUGCUAUUUACUUUGCCUUUAUUUUACUUUGCAUCUUUAUCACAAAAAUACCAAAAAUAUUAUCUUAUCAUAUCUAUCAGAUCUCACUCUCGUAAGUGGCCUUAUAGGGAUUAACAACCCCUAUUUGCGUUGGUUGCGAGGAUUUACUUGUUUUGUGCAGGUACGACGGACUCAUGCGUAGCCUCCUACUGGAUUGAUACCUUGGUUCUCAAAAACUGAGGGAAAUACUUACGCUACUUUGCUGCAUCAUCCCUUCCUCUUCGGGGAAAACCAACGCAGUGCUCAAGAGGUAGGAUUAACCUAGCCAACCAGACUGCUAUGCUCUAAACCCUGCUGCCCUAGUUAAACCUACUGCCCUAACUACAUUUUUGCUCUAAACUAAAUUUUUGCUCUAACCUAGCUAGUUAACCUAAUGAACCUAGCUAGUUAACCUAGUUGGUUAACCUAGCUAGUUAACCUAGUUGGUUAACCUAGCUAGUUAACCUAGUUAAUUAACCUAAUUAAACUAGUUAACCUAGCUAGCCAACCUAGUUAACCUAGCUAGUUUGAAUUUUUACUAAUUUACUAAAAAAUCUACUCUAUGCAAGAACAGAGUGAGGAGAGAUGAGGGAGGGAGAAUGGGAGCAGGGGGUGGGGGAGGGAGGAGGAUCGGAGGAGGGAGGAGGGAGGGGUNNNNNNNNNNNNNNNNNNNNNNNNNNNNNNNNNNNNNNNNNNNNNNNNNNNNNNNNNNNNNNNNNNNNNNNNNNNNNNNNNNNNNNNNNNNNNNNNNNNNNNNNNNNNNNNNNNNNNNNNNNNNNNNNNNNNNNNNNNNNNNNNNNNNNNNNNNNNNNNNNNNNNNNNNNNNNNNNNNNNNNNNNNNNNNNNNNNNNNNNNNNNNNNNNNNNNNNNNNNNNNNNNNNNNNNUGGGAGGAGGGCUUGGCCGGAGGAGGAGGCGGAGGGCUUGGUGGAGAAGGAGGAGUGCCCUUGGCCGGAGGAGAGGAGGGAGGAGGGCUUAGCCGGAGGACGAGGGAGGAGGGCGGUGGGAGGAGGAGGGAGAGGAGGGAGGAGGGCAUACCGAGGAAGGAGGAGGGAGGACGACGGCGGCAAUGCGUUGGCGACAGCAAUGCAGCGGUGGCAGAGGAAAAGUGAGGCAACGGGAAGUGAGGGAAGGAAGAAGAAGGUCGGGUGCGUGUCGGCGUUUUGGGAACGGGGGUCCCCAGACUUGCCUGCCUGCGGCCUGCGGUGUGGCUCAAGCGGGGGCCCAGCGCGGCCCAUCUUCAUCAGCUCAAGCUCAAGACCCUCGCGAGGGGCCAAGCCUCGCGGGGCGGACGACAGGAAGCUUCCUCAGAGGCAGCCUCAUCAGGCAGGCUUGCAAGGAGGCGGAGAGAUCAAGGCAGGGGUACCUCGCGAGGAACCCGUGAUGCAAGCCAUGACGAUCGAGACCAGGCGGGCGCCAGGCGGGCGCCGGCCUGCGCAGUGUCCUUGUUUCCCCUUUGGUGCAAAGGGGGCAAGCACAGGCCAAGGAAUCAGGCAAAGGUUACCAUUCCGGUGCAACGAGACCAAGACCAGCCGGACGGUUGGACGGAGGUCACCGUGGAGUCCAAGAUGGCAUCAUCACCAGUGCUUUUGGCAGCCGAAGACCACCUUUGGUCAGGAUAACUUGUACUAGAUGUUCCCCUUCGAAAUGGCCAAUUGUUGGCGCCCUUCCCGCUCAUUAUUUGGGGAGAGGCCCAGGGCCUCUAUAAAUAGAGCUAGCCACCACAGAGUAGGGAGGAGACACCCGAGAGAGAUCGAGACACCCCGGAGAGAUCGAGACCCCCGAGAGAGAACGAGACACCCCGGAGAGACCAAGGCACCGAGGAAGGGAGAAAUCUGGAGACGGCUAGAAAUCUGGUAGAACCAUAGCAGAGAGAGAGGAAGAGGCGACUGAACUCACCCUAGCAGUUCAUCGCACCAGCUCAAAAACACCUCUCACGAGGCUAUUCUUCCCUUGUACUGUCCAUCAUCAGUCCCAGAGGCAAUCCACCACACCACACACUGGAGUAGGGUAUUACACCACAACGGUGGCCCGAACCAGUAUAAACUUCGUGUCUCUUGUGUUGUUCAUCAUUUUCAUCUUAGUACGCACGAGAGGAUCGGACGUAGAUCGGUAGGGGAGAGAUCUCCGCGCGCACCCUAGUGUUCGAACCUCAAGGGUUUGCCGGAACCCGAAACCCGACAUUUGGCGCGCCAGGUAGGGGUGCGCCGGAAUCUUCCUUCCGCUGUUCGCGUGUGAUCUUCCGUCGUGUCCAUGGCUGACGCUCGUCGGGCUCAGGCCGAGCGCCGGGCUACUCACGCCGCUCGCGUCGCCCAGACGGCGCCCGUCGGCGGCCCCCCUCGUUGUUCCCCGUCGCCCGCCGCCAACGCCGCCAACGUACCGGCGGGGAACGAGCAGCAGGCCUUGUCCCAGCACCCCUCGGUGCGGCGGGAUGGCCGCAUCGCCACCACGUCGCUGACUCCAGCUGGCUCGUCGUCCCACGCCCGUCGCGCACCCAUGGAUGCGCACGCCUCACUGCUCUUGGCGUGGGAGCUCCUGCACUAUCGCCCCAUCAACGACCUCUACGAGGACUGGCUCGCCCCAUCACCGAGCUCGUCAGUGCCGCAGGGGGCUCCCCCUUGCGGUCCCUCUCGCUGCCUCGCCCUCCAUCCCGUGCAGGGGGCGAUGAUCAGGAGGCGCCUCUGCCGCCUCCUCCCCAAGAAAGUGCCUUGGCUCCAAGGCGCGCAACCCCAGGGCGAGACCCUCCAUGUCCGGCGCCUGCGCAGCAAGAAGGGAGCUGCCAAGAGAUCCCACGUCCCCGGGAAGGUGCUCGCGCGCUCCCAGCACCGGCGCGCCAAGAUCGCGCCCCAGCGCCUCCACGACAAAACCCCACGCUGCUCCCAGUGGCGGCGCGUGGUGACCCGCAAGAACGAGUCCAACACCAGCAAAGCACGCCGGUGGCCACGGCGGGCUGCCUCGCCUUCACCCCCGAGCUGCGAUGCAUCACAUGGCCAGGCAAGUUCAAGCCUGACCUCCCUCCCUGCUACAAUGGCACAGCGGACCCCGCAGAGUUCCUGCAGCUCUAUGAGCUGGGCAUCGUAGCCGCCAACGGAGACGAGAAGGUCAUGGCAAAUUGGUUCCCCAUGGCUCCUGAACCUGGCUCCCGGCAUGAUCUCCUCCUGGAGCGAGAUGCACACCCGCUUCAUCGCCAAUUUCCAGGGCACUCGCGACCGGCCCCCGGCCGUGAGCGACCUGCGCCGCAUCAAGCAACAGCCAGCAGAAACCUUGCAGAAGUACAUCCAGCGCUUCAACUACGCUCGCCUCAAGAUCCCCAAGGUGACUGAAGAAGCCAUCAUCUCAGCCUUCUCCGACGGCGUGCGCGAGGUCAAGAUGAAGGAAGAGCUAGCAAUCCAUGAAGACCUGUGCACAUCCCUGGAGCUGUUCAACUUGGCGACCAAGUGCGCCAGGGCUGAGGAAGGGCGUCUCUCCCUCCUCGAGCUCCCGGCAGCCGACCCGGAAGAAAAGAAGCUCAAGGCCAAGGACGUGAAGCGCAAGGGGGCUGCCGUUCUAGCAGCGGAACCGGACACCAAGCGAGGCAUGGAUCAGCCUUAGUCAUCCUAGGGCGGACGGCACUGCAUGUACGACGACCUCCACACCCACAACACCAACGAAUGUCAAGAGCUCAGAGCCGUGCGAGAUGGGCGUAUCAGCCGAUGCCCAGAGCGCAACGACAGGGGCUAUGGCCGAGGAGGAGGAAGAGGUGGUGGACGAUGGGAAGAUCGUGGCCUUCGCCAGGGAUGCGUGACCGCCCUCGCGAGGACCGCUGGCAGGACCAGCCUCGUGAGGGAGGUUGGAAGGACCAUCCUCGUGAGGACCGUCCCCACGGCAACGUAGGCCUCCCUCCUCUGCCACCUUCACCAAGGAGGAACGAAGACCAACACCAAGACGAUGGGGCUGGGGGCUUCCAAGAUCUGCGUGCAAUUGCUUGCAUCUUGGGCGGCGCCCAGGCCCCAGCCUCACAAAGCAUCUUCGAGCAGUUUGCUCGCGAGGUGAAUGCAAUCCUUCCCAAGCUUGAGGCCACGCGCCCUCUCAGGUGGUCUUCAUGCGCGAUCACAUUCAGUUCCGCAGACUAGCUCAAGUGUGCGGCAACGGCCAGAGUCCUCCCGAUGCUUUGCUCCCCAGUUAUCAGCAACGUGCAGGUCACCAGGACCCUCAUCGAUGGCGGGGCAGGACUCAAUGUCCUGUCCGUCGAGACAUUCGACAAUCUCCAAGUGCCAUACGACCAGCUUUAGCCGACCAAGCCUUUCUCAGGAGUCACCGAUGGUUCCACUGUUCCAAUUGGGCAGGUUCGCCUUCCGGUCACCUUCGGGCAACGCAACAACUACCGCACCGAGCUCAUCGACUUUGACGUCGCCCACAUCCGCCUGCAGUACAACGCCAUCCUCGGGUACCCAGCCCUAGCCGAGUUUAUGGCAGUGACUCACCAUGAUUACAAUGUCCUCAAGAUGCCAGGAAGCGGUGGAGUCAUCACCGUACCCUGUGAAGAAAGGGACGCAGUGUGCUCGCUCGAGCGUGCAUUCCAAGCCGCAGCAAUCGAAGACCCAGAUCGCAGGAGCGGGAAGCCUCUCGAGGCGACCCUCAAGAAGAAGAAGACCUCACCUGGCCAGAGCCACAAGGAAGCAGGCACCUCCAGAGGUAUUGUGUCAAGAUUCGCGCCCGAUCAGGGAGCGCCGCCCUCUUGCACAUAGGAAGGAGCGCCCGGCGCCCUCCUCAUGCAGGGCUCGGGGGCUCUCUCUUGGAGAGCCACCGACCUUGCCAAGGUUGCAGGGGGGGCGCUCGGGCACCACUUGGAGGGGUGCUUUCAGGCACGCUUCCCUCAGAAAGGUACAAGUCAAAGGAGACAAAACCCUCAGGAGUUCAUCGCAAGGAACACCCAAGAGCUACAAGAGUCCAUAGUCAUGCGCGGAAGCCGCCUCUUACCUGUCGUGGCCGCACAUCCAGGCGAGGAUGGAGGACUGUGCGUCUGUGUCGACGUACCAGGGCUCAACCGAGCUGCGUCCCAGGAACGCCUAUGGCCUUCGGCCGUAGGGCGCUGUGUGGGAGCACCCCACAGCUACGUUCGCAUGCCCUUCGGCCUGCCGAGCGCAGUCGCCGCACAUCAGUGCCUGUUGAGGAGCAUUCUGGAGGCUCAGGAGGUCAGGCAUGGCGCGGUCCUGGCGGAGGUGGCGAUGGUCCCCGAAGACCUGCACGUGCCAUCAGAGCCUCCUGAGGCCUGGGGGCUCAUGAGGGCCGACGUCUUCACCGCGCAUCGCUCACUUCCUCAGCAUCACUUUGUCUUCAACAACACCAGGUGACAUCUUUCAGAGUUCUACUUUUAGCUGGGAGCGCCCACAGGGCUGCACCAUUCCCAGGCCGCGUGGGUCCGUCCCUGCGGCAUGUAUCUAUUUUGGUUAUGCUCUUUACUUACCCUGUUGGGGGCGCCCCUCGGGCUGCAUCAUCCCCACACCGCUCAGGCCCGACCCAGCGGCAGUUGCUUUUCCAGCAUUUACCCUAGGAUGAAGUUGUUCUUUCAUGCUUAAUCUAAUUCCCAUAGUUAUCACCUACUUCUUGUCGUCGUGCAAAGCGCUUGCACGUUAAAAGGGGGCGCCUAAGCAUCGCGACUCAUGGGCUCUUACUGGCUCUCCAUCCCUCACCCCCUGGCCUUGACCCAUAGCAUCGUGACCUGUCAUACUAGUGACGGCUGAGCUCGCUUGGGGGCCGGGACCUGAGGACGUAGAGCAUUUGCAUUCUAAUAACCCUGCAGGAACACACCAAUUGAUAAAGGCCCAGACCCAGCCGCAACCCGCCUCGAGGUAGGGCCUCGUGAGUCCCGCGCUGGCUCACGGGUGCCCAAAUACACCUCUCCUAGCCCUACCGUGCCGACCACGUGUCAGGGCGGGGCUAUACAUGCCCCGGGGGCUCCUCCCAGAGGGGAGCCCCCUCCCACGCACCAGUGCAAGCACCAUGCUCCGCGCUGGCUGACGACACUGCCGGGGAGCGGCUAUGCCCGUACACAUACAGAAGCGCUAUGCUCCGCGCUGGUGAUAAACAACUAAGGGCGGCCCAUGGCCGUACCAACCUCAGGGAGCCCAGAGCUCAGUGUCCGGCACCAUCGCAACACCUCCCCUCGGGAGUGCCGCGCGAGGGGGCUGGACACGGGGGCUACGCCCGGGCCUCGCCUGAGCGCACGCCACCCAGCCAGGUCCCUUGGACCUGGUCGCCGCGCGCCACUCCCCGAGCGGAGCCAAGGUACGAAACCCGUUUGAGCGUCUAGGGGGACUCCUGAGCAUCGCGACUCAGGAGCCUAACUUUCCAUGUAGCCCCUCACUCCUUAGUCCCGUCCUUGGUUUCCGAUCGGGGCUAACACUGGGUGAGGUAUGCGCGGGGCCGGGCCCUGCCGACGUAUAACGAUCAAUCCACUCCUCGCUCCCCCCUUCCCUACUUGUUGCUCACGCGUCAAGGGGGACUCCUGAGCAUCGCGACUCAGGAGCCUAACUUGCCACGUAGCCGCUCACUCCUUAGUCCCGUCCUUGGUUUCCGGUCGGGGUUAACGCUGGGUGAGGUACGCGCGGGGCCGGGCCCUGCCGAUGUAGAGCGUAAACAAGUAGGUGAGGAAAAUGCAAAUUCCUGGAAAUUCAAAGCAAAUAUUACAAACCAUAAGAUUGUUCCACAAUGCCAAACACAAGUUUUAACGCCUCCGCGAGGCAUGGUGCAUGUGCAGGAAUAAAACAGGAUGGAAGUCGCGAAGGAAUCACUCCCCAGUAACGCCGUCACCGGUGGCAGAGUCAAGCUGGACGGCUUCGCCUCUCGAGGUCGCAAGGCCGACGGCACCGCGCCCGGGCAGGACGCUGGGGGAACGGAACUUCCCCAGCAAAACCUCGGCUCGGCCCCUCACAGCCUCGGCGGCGGCGGCGGCAGCACGAUCGCCGCUCACGGGCUCCAGCAGGCUGUCGAAGUCGACGUUGGGGUCGCGCAGGUAGACAUGGCUGAGGACACGCGUCAGCACCGCAGAAGACAGGGCACAUGCCUCGGCCUCGACCGUGGGGCCAAGGCCGUCUGCGACGUCCUCAAGCGCAUCAACCAGGAAGGGGAGCAGCUUGGCGGGGCCGUCCUCCGCACCAGCCAACGGCUCCUCCAGGACGCUCUCAUACAUCGUAUUCAGUAUGCCUCGAGCCUUCUUCUCCAGCUCCGCGAAGGCCGUCCGGUCCUCCAUCAGGACCUUUGCCUUGGCGUCCAUCUUGGUCCUCUUCGCCUUCAGCGACCGCUCCAGCGUCUCCAGCCGGCUGUGGUGGUCAUCAAGCUUGGCGUCCCGGUCCGUGGCGGCGGCCUCCCUAGCCUUCAUCUCCUUCUCCUGGCGGCUGCGCACCUCCUUGGCGAGCUCGUCACGCAAGCCCUGCAGCUCGGCCUCAAGCGUCUUGCAGCGGCCCUGGGCAUUUGCGACGUCGCCUAGGGUAGCAUCGCGAGCGGCCAUGGCUUGGUUGGCGGCCCGCCUCUCCUCGUCGGAGGCAUAGCUUGGCUCAACACCACUCGGAAGGAGGCAGCAGAACUAGCCCAGCCAGAGGCCAACUCUAGGCGCCCGGCCACCAGACGAGGGUCCGCACUCAGGAGAUCCUCCCGCAAUUGGCUCAGCUCAUUGGCAACCUGGUCCAGGACAGCGGCGGAGGGAGCAGAAGAGACAAGAACCUAUGGAGCAGGCGGAGAGGAUGGCAGCGUGGCCACGGCUUGGCAGGAAGGGACCUCCUGAGCCUUGGCCGCCAUGGCCGCAGCAUCGGGCACAGUCGACUCCAGGUCUAGUGGGGCCACGGGGGUUGACUCCUCGCCGGGGUGCCCCAGUUGGCCUCGCGAGGGCGGUUGGGUCGAAGAGGUGCGGGCCUCGCCGUCCUCUCCCCCAACAGCCGAAGGUGUCGCCCCGGCGGACGGAUUCGCCCCAAGCAUGGCCGCAGAAGCCUCCUUCAACCUCUUGGCCGCAGGUGUCGGCCUGGUAAAAGAGCGCAAACAUCAAGCCUCAGUGGCAGAAACCAAGCAGAGCAUGAAUCGAGCACUUACUGGAUGUUGUCCGUGGGCUCAAGCAACCUCCGGCCAAACUUGAAGCCCGAGAGCCUGCAGCGGGGGUCAGCCUUUGGCGGCCCGAAAGCAGAAGGCGCGUCAGGAGGGAUGGAGCUGGCCUUGGACAUCCCAGGGACUAGAGCAGACCCUGGGGGAACCAGGCUCGACCUGCCCUUCCUCGUGACCGAGGAAGAGCCCUCCUUUCCUCGCCUGGUGUCGGCCUCGUCGUCGUCCAGCAUGGAGCGAAGCGCCUGGGACCUGCGCCGAGGGAAGGACUCCCCUCAAUCCUCGCCAGUCUCCUCCGAGUCAGACGCUUCCUCCUCCGCCUCUUCUUCCUCCUCUUCCCCGCUGGAGCUGUCGGAGGACAAGUUCACCAUCGCCAAGACCGCCAGAUCUUCGGGAGCUGCCGCGGGCACCAGCCCCUCACCGUUGAAGGUGGGCAUGGCGUUCACCACCAGCUCCCAGUCGUCACGAAGGAACAGGGGGACGGGGGCACCCACCGGGCUCGCCACGUCUCCCCCAACCAAGGAAUGGAGGGCCGCAGCCAGAUCCUCGUCAGUCAGGGCCUCGGAGCUCAGGCGCAGGGUGGCGUCUGCUCCUCCAAGCCUCCACAGUGGGAGCGGGUGCUCCUGGAGCGGAGCCACCCGGUGCUCCAAGAACUCCCUCAGGAGCGUGGCCCCGGUCAGCUUCGCCGCCUCCGAGUUGCUUGGUCUCAGGUCCGCGUCCACCCUCCUCAACACCGCCUUCGCGCGAAGGUCGACGAGCUCCGCGCGGGACCAUGCGUCAACGGACUUAGGUUGCCCCGUGGGCAAUACCAGACGAGGGUGGAGGCGCCCAACAUCCAUCAUGACCCACUUGCUCCGGUAGCCUUCAAUCCUCUUCCCAGGCUUCGAGAUGGCGUUGGAGCUGGAAUAUGCAAUGAAGCUCGCGCAUGCGGAGACCUGAGCACCAGAAACCCGGAGGGAGAAAAAAGUGGCGUAGCAAGACCACCGAGGGCUUCACACCAACAUGAGCCUCGCAAUAGUAGGUGAAAAUCGCCAGGAGAAGGACAGAGUUGGGGUGGAGAUGCAGAGCCUGCAGGUUGUAUUGGCGGAGAACGGCAUGGAAGAACUCAGAGAAAGGAGGCACCAGACCAGCGACAUUGGCGCUCACGAAAAACGGGUAGAAGGUGCUCCCCUUGCCCUCAAGCUGAUCGGAGCCGACCUUGAGCACAGUCGCUCCCUCGCUGCCCUGCGCCAUCGUCAUCAGGCGCACGAGGGCGAGGUUCUUCUCCGACAAAUUCAGGGAAUCCAAGGCCGGCGAGUACCAAGCAUCAGCCGGGGACUUGCGAGGCGCCAUGGCGUGCCAGAUGCGAAGGAUUGAGACGGAUCUGGAGGAUUUCGGGAGCAAGAGGAAGGAGAACGAGAAAGGGGAUCUAGGGCAAGACGGACAAGAGCGGGACAAGUAAGCCUGGCCAGGGCACCCCCUUUUGUCAGUCGUGCAGUUGCCAAGGCGUCGUGGGAAGUGCAGACCCCCACGCCCAAUCAACCGCCACGCGGCGCCCAAGGCCGUAGGCUGUUAGGGCCCGCGGUGCUUCGCACUUGCCCCUUCGCUUCUCUGCUAAGCCAAGCCCGCGCACGCCUUGGGCCCGGGGACUACUGUUGGCGUUCUGGGAACGGGGGUCCCCAGACUUGCCUGCCUGCGGUGUGGCUCAAGCGGGGGCCCAGCGCGGCCCAUCUUCAUCAGCUCAAGCUCAAGACCCUCGUGAGAGGCCAAGCCUCGCGGGGCGGACGACAAGAAGCUUCCUCAGAGGCAGCCUCAUCAGGCAAGCUCGCGAGGAACCCGUGACGCAAGCCAUGACGAUCGAGACCAGGCGAGCGCCAGGCGGGCGCCAGCCUGUGCAGUGUCCUUGUUUCCCCUUUGGUGCAAAGGGGGCAAGCACAGGCUAAGGCAUCAGGCAAAGGUUACCAUUCCGGUGCAACGAGACCAAGACCAGCCGGACGGCAGGACGGAGGUCACUGUGGAGCCCAAGACGGCGUCAUCACCAGUGCUUUUGGCAGCCGAAGACCACCUUUGGUCAGGAUAACUUGUACUAGAUGUUCCCCUUCGAAAUGGCCAAUUGUUGGCGCCCUUCCCGCUCAUUAUUUGGGGAGAGGACCAGGGACUCUCUAUAAAUAGAGCUAGCCACCACAGAGUAGGGAGGAGACACCCGAGAGAGAUCGAGACACACGAGAGAGAUCGAGACACCCCGGAGAGAUCGAGACACCCGAGAGAGAUCGAGACACCCCGGAGAGACCAAGGCACCGAGGAAGGGAGAAAUCUGGAGACGGCUGGAAAUCUGGUAGAACCAUAGCAGAGAGAGAGGAAGAGGCGACUGAACUCACCCUAGCAGUUCAUCGCAUCAGCUCAAGAACACCUCUCGCGAGGCUGUUCUUCCCUUGUAUUGUCCAUCAUCAGCCCCAGAGGCAAUCUACCACACCACACACUGAAGUAGGGUAUUACACCACGACGGUGGCCCGAACCAGUAUAAACUUCGUGUCUCUUGUGUUGUUCAUCAUUUUCAUCUCAGUUCGCACGAGAGGAUCGGACGUAGAUCGGUAGGGGAGAGAUCUCUGCGCGCACCCCAUUAUUCGAACCUCAAGGGUCUGCCGGAACCCAAAACCCGACAGCACGGGGGAUAGAACUUGGGAUAAGGCACCCAUAGCAGUAGCACUGGCCCAGGAAGCGCGCUACUGCUAAGUGGAUAGCAACAGCCCGUUUUCACAAAACGUGCUACUACUAUACCUAGUCUGGCGACAACCUCUUCCCAACUGUAGUAGUAGCUCUGUUUAGUAGAGACGUGCUACUGCUACGUGGAUAUCAGUAGCGCGGUUUUCCUCACACGCUACUGCUAAGUAGCAGUAGCGCCUUAUUUUAAACCGCGCUGCUGGUAAGGUUCUGUGUAUAAGAUUUUUCCUAGUAGUUACGGGAGCCGACGCAAGGAACCCUCAGCCCUCCUCACCUCAGCCCCGAUCUCCAUCCCGGCGUGGCAUCUCCGUGGGCUGGGGAAGCAGCAGGACGAAGCGGGGGAGGGGCGGUGGCGGACAUAGAGAUAGAUCGAUUGGAUUUAGGUUAGGUGUGCGUAAAGUACUCCGGUUUUCUUUGCGGAGGAAGGAAAAAAACCAGACGAAGAGGAAGGGGAUGAAAAAAAAACAGACGAAAAAAUCAGAAAAAAAACCAUAUCGUGGACGCAAUCCCACCAACUGCUCCACAUGUGGUAAGCAAUCCAAACAACUCAAAAAAAGGAGUAGAGAUAUGUGUACGUGCUGCCCGCAUGUAUAGUAAUCAGAAAUCAGUAUAUCAACCCAGUAAAAAAAUUAGAUAGGAAAAAAGAGAGAAAACGAGAUGGGCUAGGCCCAAUUGUUGGUGAAGGGUCGCACCGCCGUAGCCUGCACACCUCGAUCGCGAUCGCUUCGUCGCUCUGGCUGCCGGCAACCGUUGCUUGUGAUUCUUCUCCGUUGCAUGCGGCACUGUUGCCGGCUUGCCGCCUUGCCGGUGUUGCGCACCUACCUUUGGCGGCCUGCUUGACCGGUGGCCACUUAAACACUCGCGUCCGGUCGUCCGCGUCGUCUAGUCUCUUUGUCUCUGUAUUCGCCCAUCCCCAAUGUGUACAUUAGAAUUUCGAUGCACAAAUUUCUAAUUCUAUGGAUUCUCUUUUGGACAUAAUUUUAGGACAUUAGCCUGCCAUACAAUGUUUCCUAAAAAGCAUUUGUUUGGUGGUUAAAAAAAGGAGAAAAAAAACAAAGCGAUCUGAAAGUUCAAUCACGAAAGGGUCCAAAAUGUUCUGAUUUCUGAAAAUUCAAUGUUGCGCAAGAAGCAUUAUUAUAGUUGAUGGUGUCACUUAAAUUUGGUCCUAAUUUGAGGUUGAGGUAAUCAUGUUAGUUUCGUUUUGCUAUCAAUUUAGUCUUGCUGCCGUGAUAUGGCAUUGUCCAACUAGAUGUAUAUACGGAAGUUUAUUCUUAAUACUAUGCAAAUAAAAUAAUAUAAUUUAUGUAGCGCACGUGCGCACACACACACACACAUGUACUCUUAGGACUUAGGGGCCCGUGUCGUUGAGUUAGCCCUAGGGCCUUCCUGAACAUAGGGUCGGCCCUGUAAGCUGCCCAGCUCGGCGCCAUGCUAAGGUCUUUUUGGGUUGGGCUUGCUAAAAUCUAUUGGACAAAUAUUGCAGUGCUUCGGGUCAGAGGAUCAAUAAUGCUAAAUCGUCUAUUUUCUUCAGUAAAGGGUGCCCUCAAGGGGUCAAAGAUAGCAUUGAACAAUGCCUUAAUGUGCACAAUGAAUCUUUGAGUGAUAGAUAUGUGGGCAUGCCCACAUAUGUUGGACAGUUUAAGAUGGGUACUUUCAAGUACUUGAGUGACAGGGUCUGGGAGAAAGUAAGAGGAUGGAUGAGAAGCUCCUCUCGGCAGCAGGCAAAGAGGUUCUCAUCAAGUCAGUUGUUCGGGCUAUACCAGUAUAUUCAAUGGCAUGUUUCAGAUUACCUCAGAGGCUGUGUGAGAACAUUACUUCUAUAAUUAGGCAGUUCUAGUGGGGCAGCAAACAAGGAAGAAGAAAACCAGCUUGGGUCUCUUGGGAUGUCAUGAAAAAGCCAAAGUACCUUGGUGGGAUGGGCUUCAGAGACAUUGAGAUUUUUAACCUAGCAUUGCUUGCUCGUCAGGCAUGCAUGGAGGCUUCUCAUGUCCCCACAAUCUCUCAGUGCAAGGAUGCUGAAAGCAGCUUAUUUUCCAAAUGUUGAAUUUUUGGAGGCAGAAUUGGGUAACCAACCUUCGUAGACACUAGUGCAUAACCGGGCUUUAGCACCGAUUCGUAAGGCCCUUUAGUGCCGGUUCUACAACCGGCACUAAAGUGUGGGGACUAAAGCCCCCCCUAGUACCGGUUCAACACGAACCGUCACUAAAGGGCCAUCACGUGGCACGAGGCGCGCCGUGGUCUGGGGGACCUUUUUUUGAAUUUUUUUGAAACAAAGCAAAAAUAGCUCACCUACUGGGCCAGCACGGCCUGCAUACGACUAGAAACCCAACCUCUAGUUGGGCCAGGGUGCAGGCCCGUACGGCCCAGUAGGCCCCAUAGGGCAGAAGACUUGCAAUAGGCCCACAAAGGCCUGUUUAGAGAGGAGCUCGACACGGCAGCCGCGGCGGGGCUUAUAAACCGGUGCGAGCUCCUCUCAACUAGCGAGGUGGGACUAAACAUUGUGCACUGCGGGUGGCAGCACACCCCUUUAGUACCGGUUGGUGGCACGAACACGUACUAAAGCGGGGGUCUUUAGUACCGGUUGGAGCCGCCAACCCAUACUAAAGGCCACCACCUCUUUAGUACCGGUUCGUGGCACGAACUGGUACUAAAGGUUCGCCACGAACCAGUACUAAUGAAUGCCGCCCACCUAGCCAUUAGAACCGGCAUUAAUGGUCAUAUUAGUGUCGGUUCAAUUACAAACCGGGACUAAUGAGUUUUACAUUAGGCCCUUUUUCUACUAGUGAGAUAUGGCGAGUGAGGGAGUCCUGGAUUAGGGCGUCUCCGGACAGCCGGACUAUCUCUAUUGGUCGGACUGUUGGACUAUGAAGAUACAAGAUUGAAGACUUCAUCUCGUGUCCGGAUGGGACUCUACUUGGCGUGGAAGGCAAGCUAGGCAAUACGGAUAUGGAUAUCUCCUCCUUUGUAACCGACCUUGUGUAACCCUAACCCUCUUCGGUGUCUAUAUAAACCGAAGGAUUUUAGUCCGUAGGAUAACAACCACAACAUACAAUCAUACCAUAGGUUAGCUUCUAGGGUUUAGCCUCUCUGAUCUCGUGGUAGAUCUACUCUUGUACUACCCAUAUCAUCAAUAUCAAUCAAGCAGGACGUAGGGUUUUACCUCUAUCAAGAGGGCCCGAACAUGGGUAAAACAUCGUGUCCCCGGCCUCCUGUUACCAUUCGGCCUAGACGCACAGUUCGGGACCCCCUACCCGAGAUCCGCCGGUUUUGACACCGACAUUGGUGCUUUCAUUGAGAGUUCCUCUGUGUCGUCGCCGUUAGGCUUGAUGGCUCCUACUAUCAUCGAUACCGAUGUGGUCCAGGGUGAGACUUUUCUCCCCGGACAGAUCUUCGUAUUCGGCGGCUUUGCACUGCGGGCUAAUUCGCUUGGCCAUCUGGAGCAGAUUGAAAACUACGCCCCUGGCCAUCAGGUCAGAUUUAGAAGCUUAAACUACACGGCCAAUAUCCGUGGAGAUUUGAUCUUCGACGGAUUCAAGCCUCUGCCUUGUGCGCCACGCGGUCACGAUGAGCAUGACUUAGCUCUCCCAUUGGACAGUGUUAAGGAGAUCGCAUCGGCAGCCGCUCCGACCCUCAAUUCAGAGCCAGUCGCGCCUUCCGCGGACGGGUGGAUGGACCCCUCCACGGAGGCCUUACCCUCAGCGGCGAUCGAGCGGAACAUCGACCUUGCCUUGCACGAGAGUCGUGUUGUUAAACUACCGGAUCCUUCUCCGGCCACGGACUCCGAACCGCCUGCGCCCGUUCCUAUCGAAUCCGAUUGGGCGCCGAUCAUGGAGUUUACCUCCGCAGAUAUUUUUCAGCACUCUCCCUUUGGAAAUAUACAGAACUCAUUAAGGUCUCUCUCCUUGUCAGGAGAAUCUUGGCCGAACUAUGUCCGGCAAGAUCGGGAUGCGGACGACGAAGAAAUUCGAUGCCCACCCACCACCCACUUAAUAGCCACUAUCGAUGACUCAACCGACAUGCUCGAAUUCGACUCCGAAGACAUCGAUGGUAUGGACAACGAUGCAGGAGACGAAGAGGAACCAUCGCCCACAGGGCGCUGGACGUCCACCUCAUCAUAUGACGUAUAUAUGGUGGACACACCAAAAGAAGACGACGACGAGGAACAGAAGGACGCAACGAAGGCUUGUUCCCUCGAGAAGCAGUCAAAGCGGCGGCGUAAGCGCCGCCCCAAAUCCCGCCUCGGCAGAAAUAACGAUCAUACAGACCUAGCGUUGGAGCAGGGUGAACCACCGCCGGACCACGACAAUACGGAGAAUCAAACCGAACAAACCAAUUCUGUCAAAGAUAAUAGUCCGGACGACAUAACGCCGGACAGGCACCCGGAGCAGCAGAAUGCCCGUCAAAGGCUUGUUGCCACUGCGAGGAGUCUAAAAAAGAAGAAGCAAAGGCUCAAGGCUGCGCAGAACACACUCCAAAUCAGAUGGAGUAAAGUACUCAACACAGCAGCGAAGUACGGCGGCAAUCGCCCCACCAAGAGCUACCCAAAGCGGAAGUUCCUACCUGAAUUCGAUGAGGAGGCCUUAGACCCCCCACAACCAAAAAUUAAAACAACCAUCUAGCCGGAUAGACGACCUCACGGCCAACACAAAGCGGCAAGCAAUGCCGCACAUGAGCCAAUACGCGGUCUACGCGAGGGCUCGCAUUAAAAGGACGGCGAAACCAGAUCCAUCUAUGGACCACGCAAGCGUGCUCCAGCAUAUGAUGCAACACAACAAACAUCCGAACAACGCGGUACACCCAGAUAUAGGGGUGCCGCACACCCCCUAUGUUUUACCGAUGAGGUGUUGGACCAUGAAUUUCCAGAGGGAUUCAAACCCGUAAACAUAGAGGCAUACGAUGGAACAACAGACCCUGGGGUCUGGAUUGAAGACUAUAUCCUCCAUAUCCACAUGGCUCGGGGAGAUGAUCUCCACGCCAUUCAGUAUUUACCCCUCAAACUCAAAGGGCCAGCUCGGCACUGGCUUAAGAGCCUCCCCAAAAGCUCCAUUGGAAGUUGGGAAGAGCUCGAAGACGCCUUUCGGGCAAAUUUUCAAGGGACUUAUGUCCGACCUCCGGACGCGAAUAAUUUGAGUCAUAUAACUCAACAGCCCAGAGAGUCAUCCCGAAAGCUUUGGAAAAGGUUUCUUACUAAAAAGAACCAAAUUGUCGACUGUCCGGACGCCAAAGCCUUGGCAGCUUUUAAGCAUAGCGUCUGUGACGAAUGGCUUGCCAGACACCUCGGCCAAGAAAAGCCGAGAACAAUGGCAGCAUUAACAAGCCUCAUGCCCCGCUUUAGCGCGGGUGAGGAUAGCUGGCUAGCCAGAUGCAGCACCAGCGACCCCAGUACAUCGGGAGUUAGAGAUGGAAACGGGAAAUCACGGCGCAACAAUAAUAACAAACGCCGGAAUAAAGAAGACAGCACGAAGAGCACGGCAGUAAACGCCGGAUUCAAAAGUUCUCGUCCAGGUCAGCAAAAGCCGCCCUCUAAAGGCGCCAGAGAUGAACCGUCCAGCCUAAACAAAAUUCUGGACCAAAUAUGUCAGAUCCAUAGCACCCCUGGUAAACCCGCUAAUCAUACCCACAAAGAAUGUUGGGUCUUCAAGCAGCCCGGCAAGCUCAACGCCGUACACAAGGGGGAGGAUACACCAAGCGAAGAUGAGGAUGAGCCUUUCAAGCAAGACACUGGGGAACAAAAGAAAUUUCCACCAGAAGUCAAAAUAGUAAACGUGUUACACGUGAUCAAGGGGAGAAACAAAACGGCACUCCCAGAAAAAUAUGCCCAAGGGCCUAUCACCGCGGAGUCUUGCCACUGGUCGUCUCAACCGAUCACUUUCGACCAUCGUGAUUACUCAGUAAGUAUCUGGCGUGCACGAUGGGCUGCCCUGGUAUUAGACCCAAUAAUUGACGGAUACCACUUCACACGAGUCCUGAUGGACGGUCGCAGCAGUCUAAACCUGAUAUACCAGGAUACAAUCCGCGAAAUAAGGAUAGACCCAACGAAAAUUUGCCAUAGCAAUACUACCUUUAAAGGAGUGACGCCAGGCCCAGGGGCUCAUUGCAGGGGCUCCCUGCUACUAAAGGUUAUAUUCGGAUUCCCCGAUAACUUCCAUAGCGAACAUUUAACCUUCCGCAUCGCUCCGUUCCAAGGUGGCUAUCAAGCACUACUUGGACGCGAAGCUUUCGCUCGCUUUAAUGCAAUACCACACUAUGCUUCCCUCACACUCAAGAUGCCCGGCCACGUGGCAUCAUUACAGUGAACGGAAGUAUUAAGCGAUCUUUGCGCGCCGAAGAGAAUGCGACUGCCUUGGCAGCCGCACACUAAAAACGGCCUCACCAACUAAAGCAUUUGAUAGGUCGUCAAGACCACGGGCGCGGUUAGACAAGUCCGACGCUGCUAUAUGUAAAUUGUAACGGAUUAAUGGCCACACCCCUAUUACAAAUACAAGGGGCCCAACACACGCAGACAAGUGGCAAUUUAUACUCAUUUCUAGUUAUACAUGGUUUCUUUAAAAACUAUCUCUCUGCACGACAACUUUUUCACCUAAAUUCCUCUCUUUUACAGAUGACCAUUGUGCUACACCCGUCCUGGAUACGGCACAACGGAGACACAGGCGCAGACGUGCAGCAGGGACCCGUUCCAAGGAUUCUUUUUAGAUUAAGACCCUGCGUAAACCUUUUUUACUGUCUCUUGUUGAUACACAUCCACCGAAUUCUCAGCACAAUUGAUAAUGAUGCUGACGUCUUGGCAUGUGGCCACGUCAGAAUAAUGCACGUACCUGGACACAAGGGGCUUCUUACAAAGGGCACUAUUUAGGCCCGGUUUAUACCAUAAAGACCGAACACCUUAGGGAGUGUUCGGCGUCGUGAGUUUGGCCUUAUAUGCAUCAGCUCCGAAUCAUUGUCUUUGGUCAAAUGUUGGGUUUUCCCGGCUCCUGUGUUUUGGUGCCUUACAUUCCGCUUUAUCGGCUAAGGCAGCACCAGGAGAACUACUGCGAUUGUGCCCUGGUUCAUCCGGACGAGCACCUCAGUAGAGAAAGCCGAAAACUGACUGUCAUGAUAUAGCGUGAGACUGGUCAACCACUCGAUGACCUAUCGAAAUGCUAGAAUUCCUCCGCCUUAACGAAGGGCCAUUUUCCGGCCAUGCAUGUACGCACCCCGAGAUCAGGAGAGUGCGGAGCCACCAGGGGCUAUCAAGUAGCCCCACUGUCAAACUCCUAUGGCUAAGUAAAAGUGUUAAAUCAUUAUAGUCCGGUUGCCUCGUUCGUUGCGCUAUCACCUUCUUAAUAGGACCAAGACGUUGGGUUAAGUGUGAACAAGCGUUUUUUGCGAGCACCUCCGCAUUAUAUGCAUGGGGGCUGAAGCCGACGACUGCAAUCUUUCAGGUUAUACACAUGUAUACAUAAACGGCUGCACAGGAGGCAUCAUAUUGCUUUCAGGCAAAAGUAUAAACACAGCCUUAAAAAAUUUCAUAAAAACAUUGUGUUUACAAUGGGAAUACAUGUCACUCAAACAUAAUAUUCUUCAAGCACUGGGACUCUAUCAAACGAGCACCCUCAAGAACCUCCUCGAAAUAGUGCUCGGUAGCCACUCGGCCUAUGGCCGAACCCUACGCCGCAACAACGGUAGCAUCCAUCUCCUCCCAGUAUGCUUUAACACGGGCAAGGGCCAUCCGCGAUCCUUCUAUGCACGCCGACCUCUUCAUCGCAUUAAUGCGCGGCACCGCACCAAGGACCUGCUGCACUAAGCUGAAAUAACUGUUCGGCUUAGGCUUUUCCGGCCAUAGCUGAUCCACAACAGACUUCAUGGCAAGUCCGGACAACCUAUUCAGUUCAGCCCAUUCGGCUAGUUGGUCAGUCAAUGAAAGAGGACGCUCUGGAACGUUGAAUUACGACCAGAAUAGCUUGUCCACUUCACGAUCUGUUUGACCUUGGAAGUACUUGGCCGCAUCGGCAGCGCUCGCCGCCAAGUCCAUAUACGCAUCUGCUGAACUCCACAGCUGAUCCAGAGGGGCAUACUGUGGAUCUCCGAACUUCCUCCAUAGCAUGAAGGGCUUCCCAGCCGCAAUAUCCCCGGCUUCCCACAGCUCCUCCUUCUUCGCUCUCAUAGCAGAGGGGGUGUCUUUUGUCUGCCAUCGUGGCCUUCUCAAGGUCCGUUGCCUUCGCUCGGUUUUCUUUUUCAAGGAGCCGGCAACGGUCGUCGGUGUCUUUUAAUUCUACGGCCAUCUUGGCCAUCUUCUCUUGGCUCUCGCAAUGUGCAGCCUUCUCGGCUUUCAACUCUUCGGCCACCUUCAAAGCAGCUGCAUUACUAAUCCUCGCUUGUUCCUUGGCUCGGGCAAGUUCUGCCCGCAUGGUUUCCACGGUGGCAGCUCCAUCUGCAGUCACAACAUAUUAAAGAUACUGGCAUCAUGCUGCUCUUACUACGUGGUAUUCACCAGAAAAUAACACUUACCAUGUGCCUCGUCAAGCCUCUUGUUAACAAGCUCAAUGUCGGCGUCCGCCGCAUCCAGUUGCCGUUUUAAUUCGGCAAACCCACUAGUCCGGCUAGCCACCGGAGCUUCCACCGCCUGCACAUAAAGGCAGUCUGGUUAUUGCCUGGGACUAUGAUCCUCUGUUCGCCGCCGUUCUCGUCGACAACCAGAGUCUCAGGGGCUACUAUCUACACAGGGCACACCUAACAUGUGCGGUACUAUCACGUACCUCAAAGCCUGUUAGUAGACUCAUAAAGGUUUCAUGUAAUCCGCUUUCGGCAGACGAAAUUCUUUCCAUCACCGUACCCAUCAGCGUACGGUGUUCUUCUGAGAUGGUCGCUCGCCCUAACAGCUCCCUCAGAACGUCCGACCGCAUACCAGACGAUGCCGGACUCUUUUGUUCGCUCUCCUCGAGAGCCGGACACUGGGGACUUCAGGGGUCUAUGGGAUUAUCUUCUGGCCUCACCGGAUCCGGAGAGGCCCUCCGUGACGACACUUCGGGGUCGCCCGCUUCUUGAGCGGAGGAGUCCAGGGGAGGCGUUUCGCUCUCCAUCAUCUCCGAAAGAAGAUCCCCUAAAGACGAGCUCAGCUGAGAAGGGCUAAGACCCGAACUGCAAGAUAUAUGCGGCGGUUAUUUUCUCAGAAGAAAGAUAGUAUACCUUCACUAUUAAAGUAUUUUUUGGAUCACUUACGACUCGUUGGAGGUCUGAUCCCCCCGCGGACUUUAUGCGGCAAAAGCNNNNNNNNNNNNNNNNNNNNNNNNNNNNNNNNNNNNNNNNNNNNNNNNNNNNNNNNNNNNNNNNNNNNNNNNNNNNNNNNNNNNNNNNNNNNNNNNNNNNNNNNNNNNNNNNNNNNNNNNNNNNNNNNNNNNNNNNNNNNNNNNNNNNNNNNNNNNNNNNNNNNNNNNNNNNNNNNNNNNNNNNNNNNNNNNNNNNNNNNNNNNNNNNNNNNNNNNNNNNNNNNNNNNNNNNNNNNNNNNNNNNNNNNNNNNNNNNNNNNNNNNNNNNNNNNNNNNNNNNNNNNNNNNNNNNNNNNNNNNNNNNNNNNNNNNNNNNNNNNNNNNNNNNNNNNNNNNNNNNNNNNNNNNNNNNNNNNNNNNNNNNNNNNNNNNNNNNNNNNNNNNNNNNNNNNNNNNNNNNNNNNNNNNNNNNNNNNNNNNNNNNNNNNNNNNNNNNNNNNNNNNNNNNNNNNNNNNNNNNNNNNNNNNNNNNNNNNNNNNNNNNNNNNNNNNNNNNNNNNNNNNNNNNNNNNNNNNNNNNAAUACCGGAUUUUCCAAACCCUCAGGGAGGGGGGCCAAACACCGAAUCAUCUUCGCCUUUGUUAGCCAGUCCUGGUCAAAGAGCGAACUCUCAGGAAUAACUUCAUGAUGAAUAAAAGACUGUGUGUUCGGCUAGAGGAUUUCUUACUUGUUCGGCGGCGCGGUUACUGCUCAGGCCCACGUCCUCGGUAGUAUCUGGACACUCUAUUUGAGGUUCGAAGAAUGACUUGUACAUCUCCUCGUGCGUCAGGCCGAGGAAACUUGGAAUGGCACACGGUCCUUCUGGGUUGAACUCCCACAAGCGAAGGGGCCGGCGUUUGCAAGGCUGGACUUGACGAACCAGCAUAACUUGUAUUACCACGACCAAAUUAAAAUCUCCCUCGAAGAGAUCUCGAAUGCGGCUUUGCAGUAUAGGCACGUCCUUGGCUGGACCCCAGUUCAGACCUCUGCUAAUCCAUGACAUUAGUUGUGGUGGGGGGCCCGAGCGGAAAGCGGGGGCAGCCGCCCACUUGGCACUUCUGGGAGCCGUGACGUAAAACCACUCCCGUUGCCAUAAUUCGGACACCUCUGGAAAGGAACCUUUCGGCCAUGAAGCUCCUGCCAUCUUGCCUAUUGAUGCACCUCCGCACGCUGCAUGUUGCCCCUCGAUCAUCUUCGGCUUCACUUCAAAGGUCUUGGGCCACAGGCCGAAGUGAGGGGUAAUGCAGCGGAAGGCCUCACACAUGAUAAUAAAUGUCGAGAUGUGGAGAAAGGAGUCCGGAGCUAGAUCGUGGAAAUCUAGCUCGUAAUAGAACAUCAAACCCCUGACGAAGGGAUCCACAGUGAGGCCUAGGCCUUGGAGGAAGUGGGAGAUGAACACGAAGUUCUCGUUGGGUUCGGGAGUAGGGACGACCUGCCCUCGAGCAGGUAGCCGAUGCGAAACCUCGGCGGUCAGGUAUCUGGCUUCCUUCAACUUCUUGAUGUCCUCUUCCGUCACGGAGGAGGGCAUCCAUCGGCCUUGAAGGCUGAAUCUGGACAUGAUUGAAGAUCCGGAGCACCUAACCUGGGCUUUGGGUAUUGGAACUCGAGACGGGGGAAGGGUUCGAUUGAGCACGAGAGGGAAAAAGCGAAAACCUUGUCCCUUUAUAAAGAGGGUGAAUAUCAAGCGUCCUCUCCAUAGCCGUUUAGGGCUUGCCUAUAAUCUAGGAGUCCUAGACACGGUUGGUGUUGGAAGCCUACCGUUGCUGGCUCAACUAGAGGACCGAGUCCCACGUAGUUCAUGCACCGGACAUUCCCUCCUUUUCUGUUACACGAUGUGCAUGACCUCCUGUAGAGCUGGGUCGUUACCAGCCUCUGUACCUGUAUAUUAACCCCUUCGUGGGCAUCAAUGAUAAUCACCAGUGUAUUCAUUCUCCAUCUUGGUAAUCAGAGCUCUCUUUCCUAUCCCUGUCUCUCAUGGACACUGGCAACAGCUCCGGCGGCCUUUCGAGCGGCGACCUGACGGGCGCCAUCCCUCCCGCUCCCGCUCCGGUGCUCUCCUCUUCUGAACUCUCCACCCCCGUCCUCUCCGCUCCGCCAGCAACCGCCCCUAGCACCAUGAGCUUGGUGACCCUGCCGUCGCCUCCCACCCUCCCUGACAUAGCGUCGUCCUCUGCCACCACUACCCCCUCCAUCCACACCCUCAACAACAUCCACAACCUCAUCCCCUUCAAGCUGGAUGUCCAAACCGGCAGCUAUUCAAAGUGGCGUGAACUCUAGCACUGCAUCCUCAUCAUGUACGCCGUCGAGAGCCAUGUCGACCACUACUCCGACCCACUGCUCCAAACUCCGGCGUGGCGCCACACCGAUCUGACACUCCUGCUUCUGCUCUACUCCACCAUCACCGACGGCCUGUACGAGGUCAUCCGUGGCGCCGGCAACACCAUGCAUCGCGUCUGGAGCCAACUCCACAAGUUCUUCCUCGCCAACCAACUCGCCCAGGCCGUGCACCUUAGUGCGGAAUUCCGCGCCCUCACCCAGGGGGAUCUCCGCAUCGCCGAGUACUGCGGGCGCCUCAAAGCGCUCGCGGACGCUCUGGCCGACGUCGACGAGCCCGUCACCGAUCGCACCCUGACACUGCAGCUUCUCCGCGGCCUCUCUCGUAGGUACCAGGUGAUCGCCACGGUCAUCCCGAUGCAUACUCCCUUCCCAUCCUUCAACCAGGCCCGUUCCCGUCUUCUUCUGGAGGAAAUCACCCAGGACGCCCAUGAUCGCUCCGACGGAUCUACCGCUCUCGCCAUCGGCCACGGCGGCGGCGGCGGCCAUGGCGACGGUGGCGGCGAGGGCUCCGGCGGCUCCUCCGGCCCACCUCCCUCAUCUGGCGACCGCGGCAAGGCUCCCAUGGAGCGCGGCAACAGCAGCACCGGUGAUCGCGGCCACGGACACAACGGUGGACGCGGGCGUGGCCGCGGGCGCGGACGCGGGUACAAUGACGGCCGCGGUUCGCCUGCUCUUCCUCCCGGCGGCUCCACUCCAUGGAUGGGCUACUUCGCACCGUGGGGGACGCCCUUCCUGCCGCCGCGCGCUCCCUGAGUUCCACCCAACGCAGCCGGGGUCCUCGGGCCUCGCCCCGGUGCUGCCCAGCACGCCUACCCCGCGCUGUACACUGGACCCGGCGUGCCACCCCAACCCUCUUGGGAUUAGGCGGCGCUCUAUUCCGCUAUGAACCAGAUGUCUCUCCAGUAGCCCGGCAGUGGCAACGGCGACUGGAUCUUUGAUUCCGGUGCCCCCUCCCAUGUCACUGGUAAUGCAGGUAACCUCGCCACUUCUCAUCCUGUCUCAAAACAUCAUGCUCCCAUCAUCGUUGGCGACGGCAUUCGUCUGCCGGUAGUUGCCACCGGCACCGCCUCCAUCCCCACAUCCUCUCGCCCCUUGCUGCUUCAUAACGUUCUCGUAGCACCUGAUAUUGUUCAAAACCUACUCUCUGUCCGUCAACUAUCCACUGAUAAUAAUGUAUCCGUUGAGUUUGACCCCCUCGGCUCUUUUGUGAAGGAUCUAGCCACCCGGACCCCCCUCAUGAGGCGCACUAGUUUCGGGCCUCUCUACCGCAGCGGCGCAUCCAGCUCUUCGGCGUUCUACACCAACUCCGGCGACCUGUGGCAUCGCCGUUUGGGGCACCCCGGCAGUGCCUCUCUUUCCCGUUUAGCACACAUUUUCUUCCCGAUUGUAAUAAUCUCCCUGCCGCCUCUGGAUCAUGUGAGGCGUGCCAAUUAGGGAAGCAGCCACGUCUGCCUUUUUCUUCUUCUUCUACCUCUGUUACUUGUUUUCCUUUUCAGCUUGUACACUGUGAUCUUUGGACGUCUCCCGUCCCUAGUUGCUCUGCCUGCAAAUAUUACUUAAUAAUAAUGGAUGAUUUUUCCCACUUCGCAUGGACUUUUCCCCUCCGUGCCAAAUCCGAGGCCACUGAAGUUCUCAAACGUUUCUUUCGCUUCGUACUCACACAAUUCCAUGUCGAUAUCCAGAGCGUCCAGUGCGAUAACGGCGGCGAGUUUCUUAACAUCUCUCUCCACUCUUCUCUAGGUGAACAUGGCACUGCCCUACGCCUCUCCUGCCCGCACACAUCACCCCAAAAUGGGAAAGCUGAGCGCGCCAUCCGCUCCACAAACGACAUACUUCGCACACUUCUUGUCCAAGCCAGCAUGCCCCCAAAAUUCUGGGUGGAAGACCUUCAUACUACCACAUACCUCCUCAAUAUACGACCCUCCCGAGCCAUCAACCACAACACACCAUACUUCAUGCUUUACGGUACUCACCCCAACUACGACCACAUUCGCAUAUUUGGCUGUUUGUGCUACCCCAAUCUCUCCGCCACCACUCCCCACAAACUUUCCGCACGCUCCACACCCUGCGUUCUUCUCGGCCUACCCCUCGAGCACAAAGGAUACCGGUGCCUCGACAUCUCCACACGUAAAGUUAUCACCUCCCGGCACAUGAUUUUCAACGAGCAUAUUUUUCCCUUCGCCACAGAAAAUCCCACUGCCCCCAGCCCCGUAUCCACCUCGGGAUCCCUCCCACCUACCUGGUCCAAUCCGACAGGAUUGUCCUCGGGAUUCCCCGCCCCAGUCGCCCCACCCCACGCACCCGAUCGCGUCACUCCCAACCAAUCCGCCCGCUGCGCCCCCACCGCUGCGCUCACUCCCGCUGGCCCACCACUCACCACCACCACUCCGGUCCCAACUCCCAGACCCCCCCAGUCGGCAGCUAGCUCACCAUGCAGCCAAUCGCCUGCCCGCUCACCAUGCAGCCAAUCCGCGACAUCCUCGCCAUGCACGUCGCCCCGCGCUCUCGCCCCGCCUCUGGCUGCCUCCCCACCAACCUCCCCGCCUCNNNNNNNNNNNNNNNNNNNNNNNNNNNNNNNNNNNNNNNNNNNNNNNNNNNNNNNNNNNNNNNNNNNNNNNNNNNNNNNNNNNNNNNNNNNNNNNNNNNNNNNNNNNNNNNNNNNNNNNNNNNNNNNNNNNNNNNNNNNNNNNNNNNNNNNNNNNNNNNNNNNNNNNNNNNNNNNNNNNNNNNNNNNNNNNNNNNNNNNNNNNNNNNNNNNNNNNNNNNNNNNNNNNNNNNNNNNNNNNNNNNNNNNNNNNNNNNNNNNNNNNNNNNNNNNNNNNNNNNNNNNNNNNNNNNNNNNNNNNNNNNNNNNNNNNNNNNNNNNNNNNNNNNNNNNNNNNNNNNNNNNNNNNNNNNNNNNNNNNNNNNNNNNNNNNNNNNNNNNNNNNNNNNNNNNNNNNNNNNNNNNNNNNNNNNNNNNNNNNNNNNNNNNNNNNNCCCUCCAUGCGCGGUGCCCGUCCUACCACCCAAAAACAGCCACCCCAUGCGCACACGAGCCAAAGCCGAUUUCCUCCAACCAAAAUCCCUCUUCACUCUCGCAGCCACCACCGAUCGCAUCUCUCCUCUCCCUUCCUCCUACAAACACGCCCUCAAAGACCCAAACUGGUACAACGCGAUGCUUGAGGAGUAUACUGCUUUGUUACAAAACGAGACUUGGCCGUUGGUUUCUCCCCCUGCAGGUGUCAACGUGGUGACGGGGAAAUGGAUCUUUCGCCACAAGCUGAACCCCAACGGCUCCCUCGCUCGGUACAAGGCGCGUGGGUCCUGCGUGGCUUCACUCAACAACAUGGCGUCGACUUCGAGGAGACCUUCAGCCCCGUCGUCAAGCCGGCGACCAUCCGUGUCGUCCUCAGCCUCGCCGUCUCCGCCGGCUGCGCCAUCCAUCAGCUGGAUGUGAAGAACGCAUUUCUUCACGGCCACCUCGACACCGUCGUCUACAACCAGCAGCCAUCCGGGUUCGUCGACGCUGCGCACCUGUCUCACGUGUGUCGCCUGCAUUGCUCACUCUACGGGCUCAAACAGGCCCCCCGGGCAUGGUUUCAGCGCUUCACCACCUACCUCGCGCGUCUCGGCUUCGUUGUAUCCAAGAGUGACAACUCUCUCUUCAUUCUUCAUCGCGACGGCGCCACCGCUUAUCUCCUCUUAUACGUCGAUGACAUUAUCCUCACUGCCAGCUCCGCCUCCCUGCUCCACCAUGUCAUCUCCCAACUCCACCAUGAGUUUUCCAUGACUGACCUCGGCGAGCUCCAUCAUUUCCUAGGGAUCAAUGUCACACGCAGCUCCCGCGGCUUGUUCCUCUCGCAACACCAAUAUGCUCUCGAGAUACUUGAGCGCGCCCGCAUGAGCAAUUGCAAGCCCAUCGCCACCCCCAUCGACACUCGCGCAAAACUUUCCGCCACCGACGGUGCUCUUGUUUCUGACCCGUCCCUCUACCGCAGCUUGGCCGGCGCUCUACAAUAUCUCACUCUCACACGACCCGAUAUCACCUAUGCCGUUCAACAGGUCUGCCUCUUCAUGCAUGAUCCCCGGGAGCCGCACUUCAUCGUCCUCAAACGCAUCUUGCGCUACAUUCGCGGUACCCCGCAGCUCGGCCUUCACCUCCGGCGCUCCUCCAACCACCGCCUCGUCGCCUACUCUGACGCCGACUGGGCGGGUUGUCCUGACACCCGCAAGUCCACGUCGGGCUAAUGCAUCUUCAUCGGCGACAACCUCGUCUCUUGGUCCUCCAAGCGGCAACAGACCGUCUCCCGGUCCAGCGUGGAGGUGGAAUACAGGGCGGUGGCCAAUGCUGUGACCGAGGCGUGCUGGCUGCGUCAACUUCUGCACGAGCUACGGCGUCCUCCGGAUCGGGCAACAAUCGUCUACUGCGACAACGUGAGCGCCAUGUACCUCUCCACCAACCCUGUGCAGCAUCAGCGCACGAAACAUAUCGAGAUCGAUCUUCAUUUCGUGCGUGAGCGGGUUGCUUUUGGCGAUGUACGCGUCCUCCACGUCCCGUCUGCAUCGCAGCUCGCCGAUAUCUUCACGAAGGGGUUGCCAUCGACCGUCUUCCUCGACUUCCGGUCCAGCCUCAACGUGCUCGACGACCCCGUUGUGGCUGCGGGGGGCUGUUGGAAGCCUAUCGUUGCUGGCUCAACUAGAGGACCGAGUCCCACGUAGUUCAGGCACCGGACGUGCCCUCCUUUUCUGUUACACGAUGUGCAUGACCUCCUGUGUAGCUGGGUCGUUACCAGCCUCUGUACUUGUAUAUUAACCCCUUCGUGGGCAUCAAUGGUAAUCACCAGUGUAUUCAUUCUCCAUCUGUUGGGUUACCCACGACCGCAUUAACGAGAAUCCCGUAAUUGGGGGAACACGAUCUCUGCUUUGACAAGACGUGUCAAGAAACCGCCUCGCAUUAUGUGUGGAGCUGGUUGAAGAAAAAUGGUUCGAAUAAUCACCGGGCCAUGACAUAACGUCAUGCUGCCAAAACAAGUCAGCAAAUUAGAAUUGCAAAAAUAUUAUUCUCUCUACGGUGGUAUAUGGAACUUAUUUUGCAGAGUCGGACACUAUCCUCGUUUUCAAAUUCUUCUGUGAUGUAUUCAGAGAAGGAACCCGCCUUGCAAUGCCGAAGACAAUACCGCGCGCCGGACUCAUCGUCAUUGAAGCCUGGUUCAGGGGCUACUGAGGGAGUCCUGGAUUAGGGGGUCUCCGGACAGCCGGACUAUCUCUAUUGGCCGGACUGUUGGACUAUGAAGAUACAAGAUUGAAGACUUCGUCUCGUGUCCGGAUGGGACUCUACUUGGCGUGGAAGGCAAGCUAGGCAAUACGGAUAUGGAUAUCUCCUCCUUUGUAACCGACCUUGUGUAACCCUAACCCUCUCGGGUGUCUAUAUAAACCGAAGGGUUUUAGUCCAUAGGAAAACAACCACAACAUACAAUCAUACCAUGGGCUAGCUUCUAGGGUUUAGCCUCUUCGAUCUCGUGGUAGAUCUACUCUUGUACUACCCAUAUCAUCAAUAUCAAUCAAGCAGGACGUAGGGUUUUACCUCCAUCAAGAGGGCCCGAACCUGGGUAAAACAUCGUGUCCCCUGCCUCCUGUUACCAUCCGGCCUAGACGCAUAGUUCGGGACCCCCUACCCGAGAUCCGCCGGUUUUGACACCGACAGCGAGCUAUGCUUGAUGGAAGGGACAUUUUUAAGCAAGGCAUUAUCAAGAGGAUUGGGAAUGGCCACAACACUAAUAUCUGGGAGACCAACUGGCUUCCUAGAAUAGGCCCUUUGCGACCGAUCACUUCGCUAUCGGUAAAUUCACCAACGCUAGGAGCCGAACUAAUCGAUAACACAUCAGCGUCUUGGCGAGAGGAGCUGAUUCAUGCUACGUUUUUACCCGUCGACGCGGAUGCUAUUAUGGCCCUCCCACUCUGCACGAGGUCGGUGGAGGACUUCUGGGCUUGGUCUGGCGAGCGGCAUGGUAUUUUCUCUGGCAGAUCGGCUUAUAGAAUGAUAUUGAACAAGAAGUAGCACCGAGAAAAUUGGCUAUAUGAGCAUGCAGGGGCGUCAGAUUUGAGGGAAAGCUCUAAUGCUUGGACAGCGUUGUGGCACACUAGGGUUCCAUCUAAAAUGAAAGUUUUUAUAUGGCGGCUAGCAAGACAUUCGAUGUCGACAGCGGAUCUUCUCCAACAUCGAAAUAUGUCCACGUCCCACUUAUGCGCCUUAUGUGGGUGUGAGGAUUCAUGGAGGCAUGCCCUGCUAGAUUGUACUACGUCAAGAUGCAUAUCAUCCUUAGUUGAAAAUUCUCUGACGGAAGUCGUGAGCCAUAACAGGGAUCCUAAUGCGAAGAACCGGCUUCUUGCAAUGAAUGAUGUACUAUCCUAAAAGGAUCUUGUUCCUCUAGUAGUAACGUUAUGGGCUGUUUGGAAAGCAAGACGAUGCUGUGGUUGCAACCAAUCGGUGACGAGGAGUUGCGGCUGCUAUAUGCCGGGAUCACGAUGGUACGUUUCAGGGGGCAUCGGCUAUAGUUAUCAAGGGAAUAUGUGAUCCACAAACUUUAGAAGCCCUAGCUGUGCGGGAGGCUCUAGCCCUUGCUGAUGUUCUCAAUCUUCAAUGGAUACAUGUUGCUUCAGAUUGUAAGGUGGUUUUGGAUGAUCUCAAGCAGGGGAACAAGGCAAGAUAUGGAGCUGUUAUACAUGAAAUCAUGGAUCAUAACUUUUCUUUUACAACUUGUAACUUUUGCCAUGAGUUUAGAAGUUCGAAUUUCGAGACUCACAAUCUAGCGAAGCAUGUCUUAAGGUUAGGGGUGGGCGGCCAUGUUUGAUUAGGGCACCCCGGUGAUAUUUCUUUUGUACCUAUAAACUUUGGGUCCGGUUAAAUAAACUUCGCGCGAUUGUCUAAAAAAAACCUACUUGCAUGAUUACCAAGGAGAACCCUUUCAUACAGGUAUACGUCGGCAGAUUUCGACAAAGGUAUUACGGCAGUUGUCUUUUUGCUUGUCCCAAGCUGGAUAUGACGGCAAGUUUAAUUUCUUGGACUACAUAGUAGUGUUCUCGAUGGCGCCAAUUCUAGAUGGUCCUCAAGCUUUUGGUUUUGCAACUAAACCUAAUACUCCCUUCAUUUUUGUAUACAAUGUCAUUAUCAAAAUUACAAUUUGCAACUAUACAAGGCCACUAACAUUAAUCGAGGCAAAAUUGAUGGCGUUUGUCUCGUAGUAGCACCCAAGAACAUUAAUAUCCCUUGUGUGAAUGCGGGAGUGAGAAGGUUGGCUUGCAUUCCCAACAUUAAUCAACCAACGAGAAGUAAGAGGGUUGGCUUGUUGUGCGUGGGAGAGAAAAACUACAUUAAUUAACACGACAAACAAGGUGACAAGCUAGCUUGCAACAUUGACUUAAACAUUGUAUUGAUUUUUACCUUGGUAUCUGUAAUAUGGGUCUGUGGCCUUGUAUACAAAAAUGGAGGGAGUAUAAUAAAUAGAAAUGUGAGUAAUUUCAAUUUUCUUCGUUUCAGCUUUUACUCCAUUUAGGAAAGGUUUUCUACUACCUGCUCACUAAUAAUGAGCUAAAACGACUUAUAAAAAUUUACAGAGGGAGUACUUUUUACACCAUUUCGUGAUCUAUGAGGUGGGUCCUGAAUUUGGAGUGGUGUGAAAGACAAAUUGUAAUACUUUCUUUUUUCAAAAUCUUCUUAGUUGAGUCGAACAACUAAACUAAAAAAAUCUGUUUAGUUGGAUACAACUUUUUCUCACGAUCGUCGGGUCUAUGUAACGCACACCUUUGUCUUGAUACACCAUUUUCUUCACAUCACCAAGCUACUUGCUCUUUCUUUCACCUCAUUUUUCUUCACAAUAUUUGCUUUCGCUUGUCGCAUCAUAUUAGACAUAAAUCAUCGACGCUUUACCUGACAAAAGAACCACUCGAGGAGUUAUGGCCCCAUGACCCCCAAGUAUAACUACGGAGGACAGAAGAGGCCUAUUGAUCAUAGGGUGGCUCAAACCUGCGAUUCUGUGUAGCGUAGCACCACUUUUGGGGGGCAAGAGGUAGACUCCUCUUCGUACUCCCUCUGGUUCUGUUUCACAAAAUUUUCUGAAACUAAACCUAAUAUAAUAACUUUUUCAGUUUUCCCACCUAUUUUCAAAAUCUAUUUUGGCCUUAGUUACCCUGCUCAACUUUCAUAAACGCCCAUGACCUCUCGUAGUGCUUCUCCAUGGGACAAUGAAGGGCUGCAAGUGGGAGGAGAGAGGGCAUUGAGGAGGGUGAGGAGACGUGAUGAUGUAGGGUCGUCUUUCAUAACAGGUGCUCCAGGAUGCCUCAAUGUUGUUCUAGUACAAAUAACAACGUAAAUUGGGGUGCCAUAAUGCUAGCAAGCGUCACAGUCGGCAUUUGUAACAAUGGGCGUAUAUGGCAGCGAUUUAACGGGUUGACGUAUACUUGCGAGAUCACACAACGUUAUUGGUUUGACCUUGUUCGGCCACUACUCCAUACUGUGGCCUUGUCCCUUUGAGGGAUGUAGCCUCGAUUACAAUUUGUCUACACGAUACAACUUCAAUGGUGACCCUUGUUGCUCGACUGGGGUGAUCGGUGAAAACUUACCCAAACCCACUAUCCAAAUAGAAGCGUAGAACUCAACAUUCAUCCGAGUCUGUUUUCAACUAGAAACCUAAACCUCAUAGAUAACCUCACGAGAGCGUGGAGUAGAAUUGGAUGAUUUCUUUGCGUAAUUCUUUUUUGUACGAAAAACUAGCUUUUAUUAAUUUUAAAAUUUCAUGUACUUCGAAGCUAACAUUCAUGACUACAUAAAUUCAAUAUAUCUCAAAACGAUGAUUAUGUGUUUUAGACUAAAAUAUGCAUAUAUUUGAAAACAAAUAUUUGUUACUUCUAAAAAAUGGUUUACAUGCAAAAUCAUAUACGAUGAUAAAAAAGACAAAGCUAUAUCAAAUAUUUAAAAAAUAAAAUCAAUAAGUGGAGUAAAUAGUGAAAAAAGCGAAAAGGAGGAGUAAAGAAAAUGAAAAUGAAAAAUGACCUGAUAGUGGACCGACCCAACUAUGCAGGACACAGGAUUCUUGUGUAGUGCGGCUUGCAAGAAAAAAAAAAUUGAGAGAGAAGGUUUGCAAAAUUUGGGGAAACGUUGAUACCGUGUGAGAUUAGACUGACCACUCUGGCCCAGUAAUUCAUAUAUAUAUUACAAAAGUAAUCACUGGUUUUCUAUUAAUGGAAACAAUUAUUUUUAUUAAUGGAGGAAAUUUAAAUAUAUAAUGAAUAUUCAUGCAACUGUAAAUAAACGUUUAUGAAAUUUUAAAACAUGUGCAUCUCAUAUUUUAAAAUUGUUCGCUACAUAGAGAAAAAUUCAUAUAGUCCGUCCUCGCCAAAUUGUGGUGCAUAUAUUUGUUUUCCAAAGUCCAACUCAAUGAGUUAUAGUAAAAUAAGAACAUUUACAAUACUGAAUACAUAACAUACAAAAAUAUAUUUCAUGACAAAUCCUUUGGUACUGUAAUUGUCGAUAGUUUUUAUAUGAAUUUGGUCAAUGUUUGCAAAGUUUGGCUUUUCAUAAAACUUAUCUGCAUUAUUAUUUGGCAAGAAAAUUCCCCACAAAAAAACUUGGCUAGAAAGAAAGUAUAUAUUAAUCUUUUCAAAGACUGAAAAUCCAUCUCUGCACCCGAGCUCAUCUGCACCCGCGCUAACGAAAAAAAUCAAAAAAAUGCUAGAAAAAUUAAAAAAAUCCUUUUUUCUGUGGUAAACAAUUUGAUGCAUGAGGUAUACGCUCCAAUUUUCAAAUUAUUUGAACAUCUGAGAAGCUCUCAAAAAAAGGGGGGUCUGUAAAAAUGUUUACUGUUCAUGUACUGUUUUGACCCGAUUUGUCUUUUUUGCUGAGAGCUGCUUAGCUGUCCAAAUGACUUGAAAUGUGGAGCGGGCCUCACGCAUCAAAUUUUCUACCGCACAAAAAAAUUGCGGAAUUUUUUGAUUAUUGUUUGAAUUUGUUACGAUUUUUUUUCUAACCAGGUGCAGGGCACCGAAACGCCCUACUCAAGCUUUGAAGACAGGUUUUCACGUAAUUUUGGAAUUUUUUUUACAUAUUUUAUCUUAAAAAACAAAAAUGAAAAGGGAAAUGGGAGAAUAUUGAGAACCACGGAGAAGAAAGAACACGGGACAAAUGGAAAAAGAAAAAACAAAAACAUUUUGCACCGAUGAGGCGCUUCUUUCUUCCGCAAUGGGUGAUAUAUAGGAAUCGGGAGCGCAGCGCAUACGAUAGUGCACAUGCUGGAGUUUUCUCCUAACAUUGAAAAAUAAAAGUUUUCUCCUAAAAUAAUCGAGCACGGCUAGCUCCUGCCAAAUGUCGAAAGAGAAGUGUAUAUCUUCACUAUGUAUACAAGUGUUACGAUUGAUAGUAGUUCUCCGUGCCCACGUCAUGCCAAAUGUAAAAGGAGAAGUUUAUAUCUCAUUAUUAUGUAUACAACUAUAAGUAGGAUUGAUAGUAAUUCUCCAUGCCUUUGCAUUAGAAAGUGGGAAUUCGAUCGUUACACAAUAUGUGGAUGCAUGCAUGAUUUGCUGCUGCUCGUACAUAAAAUACACAUUUCAAGUGCUGGUAUUUAUAUUGGCUAUUGGUUCUGUGGCCUUAUUCAUUCAUCAGGUGUCGUGCUGGCGAGCGCUGCCGACUAUUAGGUAGUAGCUCGUCAUUCAAUCACGAGUUCACCCUGGAGCAGCUAAGCCUGAUCUGCCCUUGCGUCCCCAUCUUCGGCGCGAUGUUGCCCAUCUUGAUCAUGGCCGUCGUGAACGCGCUGCUGAACGCCGCCGGGUUGGACGCGAAGUUCCGGACGGUGUUGUCGGUGGUGUCGUUGUUGAACAGCACCUGGUCCGAGUGCAGGAGCCCCUUCUGUGACAUGAGGUUGGUGUAGUAGGCGUUGUGGAGCGUGUUGGCCGUGGUCGUGUCCAGGUUCGCCAGGCUGCCGUCACCGUUGGACCGGGGGCAGUUGGCCCGGAGAGAUGUGGCGAAGGUCGUGUCGAUGUUAGUCUCGUUGUAGAUCCUGUCCUUGAAGGUCCCGCACUGCGCCUGGCCGAUGGUGUGCGCGCCGGAGAGGGCCACCAUGUCGACCGUAAGGAGGCCCUUGUUGCUGAAUGCCAGCUCAAGAUCUGACCGGCUAGAUGUAGGGCCUGGGAGGUCGCUGUUUGCCGCCGCCUCGUUUGCAUCUAUGGAAUCCCUUCUUCCCAGAGGGACUUCCAUGAUGGCCCUCCGAGCUGCACGCGAAGGAUACGAAGCAAACGGUUAACGAUGGCAUCCAAUCGAUGAUGUACACGAUCGUAAGAUGAUAUUCUUACGGCGACGACGGAGUCACGGGCAGCGACAGUGAGGAUGUCGGCGCAGGAGACGGUCUGGGCGCAGAUGGCCUCGAUCUGUGUCUUGAUGCUGUCGAUGACGCCGAAACCCCGCAGUGACCCGUUGUUCGGGAUAGCGUUUUGUUCCAUGCCAGACAGCAGAACAGACGCGUCACAGCCCUGCACAUCACAUGCUUAUAGUGUUUAGUAAGCAAAACCUAUACAAAACAGGGUACGUGACGGCUAUCGGGCUAUGCAUGCAUGUGGCCAACUUACUUGGACGAAGCAGUCGUGGAAGUGCAGCCGGAGCAGCGACGCGCCCAUCCGAGGAUCGCUGCUCACGGCGGCCAUGACGCCGCUCUUGAUGGUGGCCAGGGCCCUUGUGCAGGAUGUGUCGUAGAACGUCGGCGACAGCUGCCCCGACACCACGGCGGCCAGAGCCACGAGCACCACCAGAGAAAGGUAAGAGGCAGAGGCGGCCAUGGUUAGCUAGCUAGCUACAAGAGCAAAGCUACGCCGGCUUACUAGCUACCUGGUGGUGGUGGAGUGGUGGUGCUUAGUGGAUUGUGCAAGAGAGUGGUGCAUCGCAUGCAUAUUUAUAGACAAAGAUUUAGCUCACGUGCACCUGCAGAUCGAUCCCGGUCAGCUCAUCCAAAAUUUAGGUCCCAUUAGUCCAACGUUAGUCUCUGACACCUGUUCGAUCGGGUAUACCGCGAGCUUCCUGCUUGAGCGAUCUCUCUUGGCGUAUUCAAGGCAGCUUCCAGCUUGAGCCGCUACCGCCAACACCAACACCUGAAUUUUCCUUGCAACAGGGCCAACUUGAGCGAUCUCUCUUGGCGUUUAUCACGCAAAAAUCGGCAAAACAUGGAACGAUCUCUCUUUUUUCAUCAUUUCCAUGCUAGCGGGCGCCUGGAGCCAUGUGUGCGUGGACACCAACCAUUUGGCCUUACGUACGAAUAGUGGUGGGGAGUCGGCGUUGUUCCAAGGCGAUUCACGCUCGUUUUGACCGGUGCGCAGUCAUCUUGCGCUCCCGUCGCCUUCGGCCAACACGAGAUAAUUCGGCAGCUGAGACAGUACUGAGAGAUAAGCCUGGCUUCUCAAACGCACGGUGGGAAUGUUGAGGCAGAACUGAGGCCGCACAGCCGCAGGCCAGCACCGACGGACGUUUAGGCCGGCCGUAACGUGGCCCGAUCUGUAGGCCAGAUGCAUUUUCUUAGGCUUCCUUGCCUCCGAAGAAUUGCUGGUUAGAUUUGAGUUUCUGAAGCAUGGGCAGGAUGAACAACGGAAGUUGAGGCGGCAUUACCGUGUGUAUUUUUUUCCCAGAAACUAUAACUACAAUUGGUCGAACAUUGCUUGUUAAGUCGGUUGUUUCCUCCCAAGCGGUGUACUCCAUCACACCUCUCAUCGUCCAACCGAGCACUCUCCAAAACCUCAACAAAAUUGAGCGGGAUUUUCUUUGGUCUGGCUCUGACAAGACGACAGGUGCCGAGUGUAAGGUCAACUGGAAGAUUGUAUGCUAUCCCAAUGAGUACAGUGGCCUUGUCGUCCUCAACAUUGCCAAAUUUACGAGAGCUCUGGGCCUUUGUUGGCCGUGGUAUGAAUGGAAAGAGCCUAACAAGUUGUGGGUGGGGCUUGGAAAUCCAUGCACCUAGUAGGACCUAGAUUUUUUAUAUGCUUCCACCACUAUCAUUGUGGGCAAUGGCGCGAAGACACCAUUUUGGGACUCCCCAUGGCUCCUUGGCCAUAGGCCUAAGGGCAUUGCGCCGCUCAUUCUUGAAGCCUUGAGAAAGAAGAAUUGUAAGGUGCGCGAAGCCCUUAAAGAUAACGCUUAGAUCCUCAAGAUCAAACGAAACAGUAUCAUCUUUGCUGCCCACAUUUGGCAGUUUUUUACUAUUUGGAUGCUUGUGCAUGAGUUCCCUCUUGAUGAACUUGUGGAGGAUGACAUUCGCUGGAAGCACUCGAAUGAUGGAAUAUAUUCGGCAUCCACUGCAUAUAAAAGCACAAUUUCUUGGGAUUACUCUUUACCCAAUGGAUCGCAUGAUAUGGAAGGUUUGGGCUCCACCAAAAGUCAAGUUCUUUUCUUGGCUCGCGAUCCAAGAUCGGAUUUGGACGGCCAAUUGCUUGGAGAAGAUGGGAUGGGCAAACUAUGGGCUUUGCCCACUGUGCAAGAGAGAGCAGGAAGCCAGACCGCAUCUUUUCUAUAAAUGUUGCUUCUCCUUCGACUCUGGCGUUUGGUCCUUGAGAAAUUUGGCCUUCCUCACGAUGACACUUUGACUUGGCACAACGAGGACUCGAUGUUGGCUUUGGUGAGACAAGAGGACAGAUGCUAGAACCGCGAAUAGACGUGCGAGGACGUCCCUAACCAUGCUUGUCUAAUGGACCCUCUGGAAUGAGAGGAAUGCUAGGGCCUUCUGACACAAGAGUGCGCCGCCCCCAUCGUUGUUGCGCUUAAUUGUUGAUGAGGCUAGAAUUUGUGUUACCACGGGUGCUAAACACCUAGGGCUUAUUGUGUUGAGUGAGUAAUUGUCAGGACAUGAUAUCGAGUUACUUGUAAACCUCUAACUUCUUCUUAUUUAAUAGAUGAGGCAAAUAUUAUGCCGCCGUUUCAAAAGUAAUAAUAAUGAGAACUAGGCUAUAGCCUAGUGGCAAGGGAGCGCAGUGGCGUCUCCAGCAACCAGGGUUCGAGCCACGUCGGGGAUGAAUUUCUGGUUUCUCACAAGGGAUGCUUCUCCUAUAUCAAUAAACCAUGGGUGCUAGUGCCCAUGAGUUUCAUCUUUUUAAAAGUAAUAAUAAUAGGGUUACAAUCGGCUACCACGAGAACCAUGUACUACAAUCGGGGAUAUGGUGCAACAAACAUGAGGCGUACCAUGGGAUCUACCAUAAUUAGUUAGGGGCAACCCUUGUCUGUUCAUGACUAAUCUCCUAAGGAUAAACACAUGACCUUUAAGGAGCUUUCUGAUAUCAAACAACAUGUAACCAUACAUGCAUCUUGUAAGACGAUGUGGUUUCUUUUAAAAGAAAUCGGAGAGGUGACUCUCUUUAUUAAAAAAACAUACAUGCGUCGAUCAAAGCUAGACUUAGCUGACAGAGUAACGGACCAGUCCGACUGAAUAUGAAGGUGUCAUUGGACCACUGUAAAGCUGAGAGCUAAGCUUUCCAUAAGCACACUAAUUUCAGCCUCUAAUGCGUCAUUUCAAUUGAGUAGAUAUCGACAAGAUGCAAAUAUAGUCCAGCCUGUUGGGUUCCGCAAUAACUGCCUGUAUAACAAAUAACUAAAUUCGUACUCAAGAUAUUCAUUAAAGCUAAUUCCACAGACCCAAGCAUGCGUGUACAGAGACAACUCCAAUAAUAGCCAAGCCCUGUUAGACUGUAGGGUUGCCCAUGCCUAAGUCUAUCUACUUGUAGUUGGGUUCUCUAUACGACCAUCAACACUGUUUUGGUCUAACUUAACCUUCUCAACUCGCAUAGAGGAAGGCCGAGGUAAAGACAGUGUUUUGCCUCGUGAAAGCACACGAUGUCGAGGAUCGGCUGCAAGUGGCAGGAGAUGGCGGUGGAGGGUGAGGAGAUGAGGCACGUAGGGUCGGGAAAGUAUCCGGUGCUCCCAGCCUUGGAGUACUCCCGGUACUCCAAUGUCAAUAAACAUUUUUUUAAUAUUUCAAAAAAUUCCGAAAAAAAUUAUGAAUGUUCAUAAUGAAUGUGACUACAAGCCCGAAAAGUUUCAGGUCCAAACUCGGAUCACACAUUGAGAAACAAAAAUGUGAAAUCUAGGAUGAAUAGUGUAAAGAAGAGACAAAAGCAACAUUGAUACUAUUCAGAUCUGUAUUUUUCUUUUUUUUUCUCAAUGUACAUUUUGAUGUUGGACCUAAAUAUUUUAUGGGAUGUAGUGACAUUCCUUGUGAACAUUCUCAUUUUUUUUCUGAAUUUUUUUGAAACAUUUAAAAAUGUUUUUGACAUUGGAGCACUGGGAGUACCCCAAGGCUGGGAGCACUGGAUACUUUCCCACAUAGGGUCUUCUUAAUACCAGGUGCUCUAGGAUGCCUCAGUUUUGUAAAAGGCAAUUGUAAGAAUGGGCAUAUACGACAAUUAUGCAAUACGUCGAUAUGCGAGAGUGGGAUAACGAUGUUUAUUAAGUAGUUACACGCGUGCAGAACUACUAAUUGGGUGUGUCGCCGACCCUUGAUGGGUGGUAUAUCAUAGUGGUAUAUCAUAGUGUAGCCUCCGGUAUAGAUUGAGAGUGUCGAGAGAAACAAAAGAUGAAUAUGGGGAAAAUGGAAAAUCAAGAAUCAAGAAAAACAAAAGAAGGGAAAUAAUAGAAAAGGAACAAGAAAAAACAGGAAAAGAUGGAAACAAAUAUGGGGGAAAUGCGUCGCGUGUAUUGGACAGGGCCAGCAACACAAGCGGAGCUAUGCCAUCUCCCGCAGUGGGUGGCUUACAAGAUUGAGUAAUGGUACAUGUACGUACGAGCUCGUGUUUAUGAAGAUUAAAUACAAGAUUUGUUGGAAGCUUACGAUUGUUAGAAUUGUGUCGAAUAUUAUUGUACAAGGUAGGUUAUAGUUGGACUUGGUUUUAGACUAUGUGUAGACAGAAUAGGAGUUGUGUCCUAAUAUGACACUUGUAUCCUAUGCCUCUCAUAUAUAUCGGGGGUAGACACACGAUGUAACCUAUGCCAACAUAAUAGCACGGGCACGCGGGGGAGCCGGCGGCGUGUGCCGGCGCCCAGGCGGCCAGGGUGCGGUAUUGUAACGGUGUCAUGGAAAGGAGCGCCCGUAGUCAUGCCCCGGGGGUGUAGCCAUAUCGAUGAACCUCGUUAACAAAUCUCGGUGUCGUGCUGGUGUGAUUUCUUGAUCCUCGAUAGAUUGAUGGAACGACUCGGAUUUAUUCUAACAAAUGGUAUUAUGAGCUAUGGUUGUGAAGAGGCUGUUUGAUUGAUCUAGAGAAGGGCGACGAAGGACGUCUGAUAACUCGGCCAUGGUGGUCGGAAGAGUUUUCGAUGGACGUGAGAAUUGUUGCAGGAAAAGCAAUCGGAAGUGGCAUGCAAAGAACGCGAGCAAGCAGCCGGCGCGGGUUUCUCUACCUGAUCGAAGUCGUAUGGUGAGGCGGCGGCCAAGGCAGGCAGAUGGGAGCAGCAGGAGUCCGCCUGCAGCGGCGACAUCAAGCUGCUAGAUCGGGCGUGCGGGGCAGGGCAGCAAGGCGUGCAACAGAUCGGAUCGAGAUGCGGCGGCGUAAUGCUAGGGCAGCGAUGCAGGUGCAUGCGCAACCAAAGCAGGAGACGGUGCUAGCGGGCCAAGGCGCAGGCAAGUUUCCAGGCGCAUAGACGUGCGCGCGCUGAGGCCAAGGCUUGGCAGGAGCCAGCGGCAGGGGUACGUGGCAGUACGUCGGUACGUGAGGCUAGGAAUUGGAGCUGGCUCGUUGACGUGUGGCACGCGAGGCAACAUGUGCAUGCAAAGCUGGAGCUGCGUGUGAGAUUUGUUUGGAUUAAAAAAAGAGCACGAGUGUCUAGGCUUCACAAUUGAGAUACGAGUUUGUGUUUGUGUACGUGGGCAGCUAGGAGAUGGAUUUUUUUUUCAAGUCUUUGUUGCUAGAGGUACAUGGAGAGCACACGCAAAUUGUGACGAGCAAAGAUAAUUGUGCAAAGAAUUCUUGGGGUCAGGUUUGCAUGAAAGUUUUUUUUCUGUCAAGUUUGCGAAGAGGGCUCGAAGAGUGUGUGAAGACGAGGACAGUGUGUCGUGCGGAUCAUGCAUACACAGGGCGUCAAGCAAGACACGAAGAUGUGCGGGCGGACACGACGCAGGGUGGAGUAUGGUUGCAGUUGGAUAGUUUCGGCUGAGUCAGAUUGGACUGUCUGACGGAUCGACAGGAAGACGGCGGUGAUUUCGGCGACGACGACAUAGGAGCGUGAUGCCGAUGGUGGCCGACUUCUGGGGCGUGGAAAUACGUGGUGCAGGUCUGAGGGCUUGUGCGGCUUCGACAAGACUAUGGCGCAGGGUUGAUUCAAGGAAGUGUACACAUGAGAGCUUGAAGUCGACAGGGCGCGGGGUAGCACGGCCAGCUACAUGGAGUCAUGUUGAAGGUGGAGCUGGAGUCUAACGUAAGACUUCAAUCUGUGCUGAUGGAGGGGCUACGGUGUAAGAUAUCGGAGAAUCGAAGCCUAUUUCAGUGGGAUAGCGAGAGACACGUGGAUCGGACUGGGGCCCAAUGGUCUGAUGGAGACGUGAUACUUGACAUCGGUCGGUGAUGAUCGGUGGUUCUCUGCAGUGGGGGUUGAGGCAGUGUGGGCUAGCUACCCGGGAGACUCGACAAGGACAGCAGAGGCUUGACGCGGUGAUAGCGGCGAGGCGUGCGGUAAGCACGGGACACAGCGACGGACCAAGGCACUAAUGGUGAGACGUGUGGUCAGACAAAGUGUGCAGGGGGUGCUGAAGCAGUGUUGACGAGUACCGGAUUCAAGUUGGUGACUGGGUCUAUCGGUGCUAGUUGAUGGACAGGAGUUGACCAUGGAGAAUCUGAGAAAGUGGCGGAAAGUCUGGAUUUGUCAAAACAGAGAGAGUACAUGGCCGUAGAUUCUGUGGUGUUCGGUGCACAUGGCAAAGUGCGGAUGACAAUACAGAUGGAGGCGGAGUGCUAUAGUUGUGGGACAUGUCAGAGACUAUCUGGGGAAAAGGGUGGGACAACUGUGAAUUUGACUCAAAGUGACAUAGGGCGAUGGUGAAAUUCCUUCAAGUUUCAGACAGACGAUCAUGAAAGAGCGGUGAUGUUGAGUUCAGGUAACUCUUAUAUGUGACACCCAAUAUGUGAGUUGUUCAUUUUCACGCAGAUUAAUGAUCAGUGUGUGAUGGCGUUGAGCGGAUACUCUGAAAGUUGGGAGCACAAAGUAGAGUAACGAAAAACUUAAUUUUUGCUCGAGUGUUGACUGUGAUGAAGACGAGAAGGGACUACAGUUGCAGGUGGAGUCACAUGGAGUCUGGAAGUAGCAGCGGUGCUCAUGGCGUAUCUCAAGUCCAAUAUACAUGGAGGUUCGACGCAUGAAUAAAUUCAAGGUGGUGGAGAAUAUUCGCCAAGGUGGAGUUUGUUAGAAUUGUGUCGAAUAUUAUUAUACAAGGUAGGUUACAGUUGGACUUGGUUUUGGACUGUGUGUAGACAGAAUAGGAGUUGUGUCCUAAUAGGACACUUGUAUCCUAGACCUCUCAUAUAUAUCGGGGAUAGACACACGAUGUAACCUAUGCCAACAUAAUAGCACGGGCACGCGGGGGAGCCGGCGGCGUGUGCCGGCGCCCGGGCGACCGGGGUGCGGUAUUGUAGUGGUGUCAUGGGGAGGAGCGCCCGUAGUCAUGCCCCGGGGAUGUAGCCAUAUCAGUGAACCUCGUUAACAAAUCUCAGUGUCGUGCUGGUGUGAUUUCUUGAUUCUCGAUAGACCGACGAAACGACUCGGAUUUAUUCUAACAACGAUUAGGGAUGAACCCCACUCUGAAUUUCCCGGUGGGGGCAGGGAUUGUUAUCAACGAAGGGGCACCAUUCUCCUCGUAAUAGGCUUGUUAGGCUUGAGAUCCUCUGCAAUACCAUACGGUGUUAUAGUACGGAUGACAUAUGGGUUCAGGUCUCAUAUGGCAGUGACUGUACUACAUCGUAUAGUACCGUAGAGGAUCCUAACCCCUCUUAACAACCCGGUACGUCUAGGAUUACUCUUACCUAGGGGAUGAGUCCCACNNNNNNNNNNNNNNNNNNNNNNNNNNNNNNNNNNNNNNNNNNNNNNNNNNNNNNNNNNNNNNNNNNNNNNNNNNNNNNNNNNNNNNNNNNNNNNNNNNNNNNNNNNNNNNNNNNNNNNNNNNNNNNNNNNNNNNNNNNNNNNNNNNNNNNNNNNNNNNNNNNNNNNNNNNNNNNNNNNNNNNNNNNNNNNNNNNNNNNNNNNNNNNNNNNNNNNNNNNNNNNNNNNNNNNNNNNNNNNNNNNNNNNNNNNNNNNNNNNNNNNNNNNNNNNNNNNNNNNNNNNNNNNNNNNNNNNNNNNNNNNNNNNNNNNNNNNNNNNNNNNNNNNNNNNNNNNNNNNNNNNNNNNNNNNNNNNNNNNNNNNNNNNNNNNNNNNNNNNNNNNNNNNNNNNNNNNNNNNNNNNNNNNNNNNNNNNNNNNNNNNNNNNNNNNNNNNNNNGCUUAAGAUUACUUAGGGGAUGAGCACCACUCUUAAAUUCAUGCCGGGUGGGGUUAUUAACGAAGGGGCACCACUCUACCGUAACAACCCUGCACGUCUAGGAUUAUCGUAUAGGAAUCGGGGAACGUGUAAUACAUAGUUGUUCGUGUGCUUCAAUUUUUUCUUAACAUCGAGUAAAAAAAGUUUUCACAUAAAAUAAUCGAGCAUGUACACUCUUCUUGUGAAAUUUUGCGUGAAGUACCUACUUCAUGCCAAAUUUCCCAAGAGUGUACAUCUUCACUCCGUGUACAAGUGUAAUUAAGUAGGAUCGACAGUUUUUUUUUUUGAGAAAGAUCCUUGCCUUUGCAUUCCGUGUGCUCCAUUUUUCUCCUAACAUUGAAAAAGAGUUUUCUCGUAAAAUUAUAGAGCACGGGUCACUUCAUGCCAAAAUGUCACAAGACAAGUGUACAUCUUCAUUCCGUGUACAAGUGUAGAGGGUUGAUAGUAAUUCACCUUGCCUUUGCAUUAGAAAUUGAGGAUUCAACCGUCGUCACAUAUGUAGAAUUGUAGAUGCAUGCAUGAUUCGCUGCUGCACAUACUUUGAAUUUGAAAUACAUGUUUCAAGUGCUGGUAUGAUAAUCGGUACUGGCCACUGCUUCUGGGGCUUAUUCGUCGACGUAUCGUUCUGGCGAGCUGCCGACGUGUAGCCGUAGGUCAAUCACGAGUUCACCUUGGAGCAGCUGAGCCUGAUCUGGCCCUGCGUCCCGGUGAGCGGCGCGAUGUUUCCCAUCUUGAUCAUGGCCGUCGUGAAGGCGCUGCUGAAGGCCGCCGCGUUGGACGCAAAGUUGCGGACAGUGUUGUCGGUGGUGUCGUUGUUGAAGAGCACCUGGUCCGAGUGCAGGAGCCCUUUCUGUGACAGGAGGUUGGUGUAGUAGGCAUUGUCGAACGCAUUGGGCGUCAUCGUGUCCAGGUUCGCCAGGUUGGUGUUGCCGCCGGACUGGGGGCAGUUGGCCUUGAGAGACGUCGCGAAGGCAGUGUUGAUGUUGGUGUCACCGCCAUAGAUCCGAGUCCGGAAGUUGGAGCACUGGGCCUUCCCGAUGGUGUGCGCGCCUGAGAGCGCGACC
rnacentral:lncRNA from 1 species